rnacentral:lncRNA from 1 species
AAACUUCAAAAACCCCCUUAUGGUUUCAAUUUUUUUCACUUUAGUACCUUGUGGUUUAAAAUAUAUCAAAUUAGUACCAUGUGGUUUCUCACUUUAUCACUUUAGUACCAUGUGGUUUAAAGUGUAUCAAGUUAGUACCCCGUGGUUUUGCACUUUAUCACUUUAGUCACAUGUGGUUUUAAUUUUGUAUCAAGUUAGUACCCUGUGAUUUUUUAAACCAUAGGAUACUAAAGUGAUAAAGUGUGAAACUACAGGGUACUAAAGUGAUAAAGUGAGAAACCACAGGGUACUAACUUGAUACACUUUAAAUCACAGGGUACUAAAGUGAUAAAGUGAGAAACCACAUGGUACUAACUUGAUACACUUUAAAUCAUAGGAUGCUAAAAUGAAAAAGUGUGAAACCACAGGGAUUUUUUUUGAAGUUUUCCCUUUGUUUUUUUAUUAUUUCAUGGAAAAUGUGUGCGUCAUUGAUGGGUUUGGUCACACGACUCACACCUCGACCUCAUUGGAUAACCAAGUCAAUAAAUAAAUAAAUAAAUAAACUAGUGAAUAAUUGUCACCACAAAGACAAUUUUUUUUUUCUUUUUAUAUAUUUUUAAAAUAUUCUAAUACUUUAAACUGUGAAAAUGAUGUCACCACACCUUUUUGUGAGACACACAUUCUCUUGCUUCUUCACUCAUUUGUCAUUACUCUUUUAGCCUUAGUUUAUUUUAUAAUUUUUUUCACAGUAAAUAUAAAAUUUUGUGAGACCCCCUCAACUAUAGACUAAUUUGAAAUAGGCUCGUCAACUUUAUUGAUAAAUUGCAAUUUGACCACUUAUGCAUGCUUUCGAUUUAUAAUUCGAGUAAGCAAGAAAAAAAAAUAAGGGCAGACUUCAAAUACCACUCCUGUGAUUUCGUAUUUUUUUAUUUUAGUAUCCUAUAGUUUAAAGUGUAUCAAUUUAGUACCUUAUAAUUUUAUUUUAUUUUAUUUUUUUCGUCAUCACCUCCGUUAACAUUUGGUAAAAUUAUAUACAAAAAAGUAUAAAAUACCCCACCGAAAUUUACUGAAUAUUCAUUUUAGCAUCUUUUAAUUUUAACUUUAUCACUAAUUUAACGAAAAAAAAAAAUAGUGGAAGGGAUAAUAAAAAGAGAAAAGUGAAACCACGGGAUACUAAAUUGAUACGCUUUAAAUCACAGGAUACUAAAGUGAGUAAGUGCGAAACCACAAGAUAAUAUUUGAAGUUUUCCGAAAAAUAUGGACCAAAUUGUAAUUUUACAAAAGAUUAAGGUUUAUAAAUAAAAAUGGUGGCGAUGGUUCUCUUCUUUAAUGAGGAGUAUGAGAUAAGCACACAAUGGGUAAUAAAAGUUGAUGUAGCAAAUCAAAGUGUAUAAAGAGGACAAAUUUGUGUUCUCGAGGACUCUCAUAUGAUUAAUUGUAUUAUAUUUUGUAGCUUUAAUAUAUAAUAAGUCUCAAAUCUCUUUGAUGUUGAUUCCUCAUAAGAUUUUGUGUUUGGUUCCCCAGAAAAGAAAAAAAAAAGUUUUUUGUUUGAAAAGUAUUUUUCGACAGUUUGAUUUCCACAAAAAAAAAAAAAAAAAUUCUAAAAAAGGUUUUUUUUUUCUUUCAGAUUUUAUGAAAAUGUCUUUUUUUUAUUUGUUUUCUGAAACUUUUAUCCAGCAAAAUAAAAAUUAUAAAAGAUAAUGUUUUAUUAUUAAGGAAAAUAGUACCAUUCUUAAAAAAAAAAAAAAAAAAAGGUUGGAAUGAGAGAGGAAUCCUUUAUUAAAGGGUUAAUUUUAUAAGGAUUCCUGCAAACAUAGUGAAUAACAAAUAUAUCCCUAUAAAGUUUAAUUUUUAUAUAUUGUUUCAGCAAAAGUUUUAAUAUUUUUAAAUAUGUUCUGCUGAUUUAUUAUCGUUAAAGAACCGCCAGAAAACUGUUUAUAUUUUCAAUUUUAUCAUUACAAAUAUGUUCCUUAAAAAGUCAUAACAAUAUAAUAUAAGAGAGGUAAAAAUGUCAAAAAGUAACUAAGGUUAAGUAUUUAAUCUAUAGUUAACUAAAUUUUUCUAACAGAUUCUAACGGCAGAGACAUAUUUGAAAACAUCAAAAUUUUUACAGAGAUAACAUAUGAAAGUUGAACUUUGUAGAGAUAUAUUUGCAAUUUACUAUAUUUACAGGAACCUGUAUAAAAUUAACCUUAAAUUUAUUAAAUAUGAGAAACUAUACAUGCUUUAUUAGAAAAUUCUCAUCUAGUCCAAAAUCCAAAUAUAUACAUAUUGUGAUAUAAUUUUUGGAGCCUACUUACCUAAAAGCUUAAGCCUUUAUUACUCUUUAGACUAUUAUUGAAACUAAAACUACCAAAACUACUGUUACCUUUGAUUGGAGUAGAAAAACCUAAACUAAGCUACUCAGUUCUCGUUACGAACACGAAAGUAUUUUUGUUUUUGAAUCGCGCAAAUUAUUUAUAUAUUGUUGUUGCAGAAAAUGAGGGGUCUCUCCUUCAUCAUAUGUUUCUAUGGCCUGCACACUCUAAUUAAAUCCGAAUUCGACUUUUCUAAUAAGCAUGAAUAUGAAAUUAAUAAAAAUAAAAUUAUGAUAAUUUCCGCCGAAUAUUCCAAAAAUCAAAAUCCUAAAGAAGAUUAUAUCGGAUGACCGAAAUAUCACGCUAACAAUAGUCUUUUAUUCAAAAAAAAAAAAAAAAAAAACAAUAGUCUUUUAUUUUGUUUUUCCUGUGAGUCAAUAGAUUCUUCUUUAAACGUGACCUUGACUAUUGCGCCACCAUUUAUUCAGUGGCCCCGUAGCUUUUAAUAAAAGUAAUCAAUAGUUUUUAAAUUAUUAUGUUGGAAAUUUGCUACAUUAUAUUGAUACAGGAUUUUCUCUGGCACUAAUUUGUUAUGACAAAAGUGAAAAAAAUUUAGUUCGUCGAGCGUGAAAAUAUCAAAAAAAAAAAUUGAGAAAGAGAGAGAGAAAAAAUAACCCACACAAAUACUUUUGCGGUUCAACCACUGACCUAUGCCUACGGGCAAAGAUGCAAUAGAGAUUUUCAUUAUAAUUAGAAUAGUAUACAAAAAUAUGUCUCUCUCACAAAAUUUUAGUCUAAAAAGAUAUACGCGUACUUCUUCUCGUUUGCUUAACCAAAUUAAUAGAAUAAAGGCGUAAUUAUAAUAGUGACUAAACCCUAAUAAGAUUAGAAAUACAAAUCCCCUAAGACUAGAAAUAACCUCAAUAAGAUUAGAUAUAAUCUAAACUUAACUUAAUGAAUAGUCAGAACAAAACAAGGUUUUAGAAAACUUUACAGUUCCAGAAUUCGAGACAUAUAUAUCUUACAAUCUUCAUAUUGACUUGAAUUUUAUUUGUCUUCUCCACUAAAUCUCCAAAAGCUCGUGAAAUGCUGCUUUUCAUACAAAUCAAGUUUAUAAUUUCAGAAUUCAAGAUACAUUUAACAUUUCAGCUCUAAUACCAAUUAUUAUAAAUAGAUCCGGCCUAAUCAAAGCCCAUAUGCCCAAGAGUGUUACAUAUCUGACAUAUUGACUGUUUCAUAUUAUUUAACAUGCUAUCAAAAUAGAAUGUUCCGAGUUCGAAUCAUACGCGAUAAGUAGAAAUCUUCUGCACUAUAGAUUUCCCACUUACUCUCCUAUAACUUAGUGGGGUUCCCAACUAAGAAGUGUAAAGCAAUUGGAAGAAACCAUAAUGAAUUUCAUGAGAAAUAAAUGCAUGCACAUGAAACAAAGUCAAAAGAGGCCACCUUCAUUUUAUCACAAAUAAAGGCAAAUUAUUCUGAUUGGGACUAAUUGUGCCAAUUAAUUUAGGGAUGUUGGGGGGUCAAAUAUGAUAUUUUUUUUACAAUUAAGAGCACAUGUUCCAUUGUGGUCUUAGAUUAAUUUUUAAUUUAUACUUACAUUGUCUUAUUUUGGCUUUGUAGAUGUGUCAUGAAGAUAUGUUCCAAGAAAUCUUUUUCUGACUUAAAUUUGUACUCCAUGGUCUUUAAAAUAUUUACAAGUAAUAAUGAAAACAACAUAAAUAAUUUGUAAACAUAUUGCCUUUUCUUUUUUUUCUCAUUUGUUUAAGAUGUAAAUAUGUAAUGGGGUCAAAGAGCCAAAAAAAAAAACAAACAAAUUGAUGUGAAGAUGUAUGCAUGAAGUGUAACGACCCAGCCCACUAGCAACAAUAACUCAUUGGGUCCAAACCACUAGUCCCCCCCAUUUCCAUCCGAUGUGGGACACCCCCCGUUAAGGCCUUGACGUCCUCGUCAGUCCAAUCACACACAGCCCAAGAUCACCAGGCGAUGUGAGACUCGUCUCGCUAGCCCGUCAUCCAGACCCUGGCUCAGCCAAGACUCGCCACAUAUGUCCAGCUGGUGAACCGGCUCUGAUACCAAAUGUAACGACCCAGCCCACAAGCAACAAUAACUCGUUGGGUCCAAACCACCAGCCCAAAAUGCUUAAGCCUAGUUAUUAUUACUAGUGUCUAAGUCUCUUAUAAACCCAAUGACAACCCCAUUCCCAUUCGAUGUGGGACUAUUGGGGUGUCACAUGAAAAGCCUCUCAACAUUGAUAUACAAUUUUGACAUGAACUUUAUGGACAAUAUUUUCUUUUGUAGUCAUUCCUCAACUCUAUUUAUUUGUUUUGGUUAAACUUAUUGAAUUAAUAAAUUUUAUUCAAAUCACUAUUUCCUUAGCACAUCAAUUUUAUUAAAAUUAAUAAGAAAAUAAAUGUAUCACAGAUACUUCUAUAAAUCUCAUGUGUCUGUGUCAUAUUCGUGUCUGACGUGGACAUGCCAUGUAUAAAUGCACGUUCGAUACCGGUCCACCUAUUGAAAUAAUAUAUAAUUUUUUAUUUUAUUUUGUUUAUGCUUAUGCAUAGAUAUAAUAUAAGAUAAUAACUCUUUUGGCUUUUUGAUGAAUAUACAUAUAUAAUUAAUAUAAAUAAAUUAUGUGCGACGGCAAAUUUUUUUUAAAAAAUAUAUGAACUAUCGGUGAAAAAGUUUUAUUAACUAUCAUUUGCAUGAGAAGUGUAAUAAUAAUUUAAAAAUUAAUAUUUUAUAUAUAAUAAAUAUACUAUAACAUAAAUAAAAUUUAUUUUAUUAGCAGUGUCAAGUAUCUGUAUCCCCUUUUUUUUGAAAAUUACCGAAUUACCGUGUUUGAGCCAUGUCGUAUCCAGUGUUAUGUAUUCCAUAUCAGUGUUCGUGAUACUUAGAUAAAAUAUAUAUUUAUUUCAGCUAAAAGUAAUUUUUAUCCUAAAAUCUAACAAAGAAAUAUCAAUUAAUUUAACCACCUAAUUGAAUUUGACUAAAAUAACUCAUAGCAAAAAAAAUAUAAAUUGAGAAGGUGUUAAACAACAAAAAAAAGAAGUUUAGGAGCCUAUUUCAAUUACAAUUAUGCUAUGGUAUUAAUGGAUUAUGAUUAGGAUUAUCAACAAACAAAAACAACAAAUGGGAGACCGCCACCUGGCAUUCCAUUUUGCCUGUUUAUAGAAUAUAUUAUAUAAUUAAUAUAAAUUAAUUAUGAAUGGACAAAUAAUUAUUAAUUUUUUAGGAAAAAGUUCGUAGACAUUUCAUUAAAAAUGUAGAACUUGAUUUCAACAUAGUCCCUUAUAACAAUUAUAAAGAAAUUAAGUAAAUAUCCAAAUCCAGAAAAUAAAAAAAAAAUAUAUAUUUAAAUACGAUGUCCCAAUUAGGAAUGUCAAUGGGUACAUAUAUCCGAAAUUUUAUCGAAACCCGAAUACGAAUAAAAUGAAUUUAUCUUGUAAUGAACGAAUAUACUUUCGGAUACAAAUAUAAAAAAUAAAAAUACGACGGAUUUGUCUGCACCCAACCUGAGCCCAAAUUAAUUUUACAGUAUAUUAUAUAUAUAUAUAUAUAUAUAUAUAUAUAUGUAUUUAAUGUUUUAUUUGAAUUUAUAUAUUAAAAAUUUAGAUUUAACGUAAUGUAUUUUGAAAUAUAGUAAAGAGAAAAAUUGUUUCGAGUUCGGGUUUGGAGUUUAAGAUUUUUGGUCGGAUUCGAAUUUAGAUAUGCAUUUUAAAAAUCUGUCGGAUUCAGAUUUGAAUUUCGAAUUUAAUUGUUAGAUUUGGGUUUGGAUUUCUAAAAACAGGUCCGAAUCCGACCCGUCGGCAUCCUACUCCAAACCUAAACAAUACAACAGAAGGGGAAAGAGGAAGGAAAUAGUCCCCAAACCUACGCAUCAAAAAUAACAAAACAAUUAAACAGAAACUACAAAAAAAAUAUAAAACAAGAAAAAAAAACUUGUUUAAUUUUAAUUUUAAUUUUAAAUUUUAAAAUUUUAAUUUUUUCUGUAUGUGAUACAUAUUUUAAUUUACUUCAUAUUUUGUUUUAAUUUUUAAGGAAGAAUUUUCAUUUUCAAAUUUUAAGUCAAUGUGUUAGAGGACAAUACACACACGACAAAUUUGUUCCACGUCUCACAAAUUCCUCUGAAUUUAAAUUCCAUUUUGAUUUAUCAGUAGAAGCUUCUUCUUCCGGUGAGCUUCUAGAUAAAAAAUGUGCUCUUCGAGAAAAAUAAAAUUAAAUCAAAAAGAAAUAGAAAAAAGAAUUAAAGGAGUUUUGCGUAAUUUUGAAUUUAAACACCUAUCAUCGAUGACCAACUCGACUAUACUGUACCGUGCCAAUAAAAUAUCGACAUAAUAUAUUUUCUUGUGAGCUCAAAAUUUUUUUUUAAAAUUGUUAAAAAUUAUAUUUAGAGCAAUUAAAAUAUACUAUGAUUAAAACGGAAAGAAUCAUAAGGAUCAUUCUUUUUUUUUGGGGGGGGGUAAAAUAUAGAAUAGUCUAUGUAAAUAUCUAUUUUUAAAUUUUUUUCUUCACUUUCAAAAAUCUAUAUUUUAAUAUUUUUAAAAUUUUCAGUUGACGCAUUUAACUCCCAUUCGUAUCGAUUUUUUCACUACUCCGUCAAUUACUUAUAAUUUAUAGCAAAAAUAUUUUUAAAAAUGACAAAAAUAUGUUAACUAUUUUUCUACAAAAUAAAUAAGACCAAUUUGGUCAUUUCAUUUUUCUAUUAAAGCCAUAAUUUUUUUAAAAGAUUUUUAAGAUUGAGGAUACAUGUAAAUCAUAUACUUUGUCCCCUUCUGACAAGGGCAUUUUCGUCUUUUCACCAAACCAAAACGGGAUAUAAAUAGCGGGAGUGGUCACUCUGUGUGUUGUCCCUCUCCCCCUCUCUCUCUCUCUCUCUCUAAGCAACAAUGGCGAUUCAAAUCCGACCACAUCUCCACCCUCUCAUCCUUGUUUUGGGCAUAACAUGAUAGGUUUGAAUCUCUCCAACCAAAUUCUGUUUAUUUUUUGUAAUUUGGGCAUCUUAUAUGCUAAUCGAGGAGUUUGUGCCGAGUGUUGAACAAUUUGAGCGCAAUUUUUUGGGUUUUUUUCCUUAAGAUUUGGGGAAGUUAAUUUCAUAAACCCUUUUGUGGGUUUAUGGAAUUAAAGUUGCUAACUUAACUCUGAAGCCCAUAAAAAUCGCAUUUUUGGAGCAAUUCCAGUGUUUUAUGCUGGAUUUUGAGUUCAAAAAGAGUAGGUGAAGUGAUAAAGUGAUGUUAGUGUUGUAGAAUUGUAUCUGACUUAUUAUCUGCUGUUGAAUUACCUGAGAUGAGACCCCUUUUUUUGUCCUUUUGAAUUUUAAUUAGUGCUUCUUUUGUUCUUUUUUCCGGCUAAAAUGUGUGGACACUCCCCAAAUUUGGGUAAUUUGGAAACGAGUUCUCAAACUAUAAAUUUCUUUUUGAAUAUGUUUUCAUACCCCCAUAGUUUUUUUUUUUUCACUGAUGAAUAUUCUAUGACUUAAGUGGUAUUUUAGUUAAUAGUUCUGUCAUUCUAAUUAAAUUUAAUAAAAAUUUGUAGAAUAUUCCAUUUAAGUUGUGGAAUAUCCUGUUUUAAACGGUUUGUAGAGUGGUAAUUUGGAUGGAAUUUCCUAAAAUUAGUAGAAAAGUUGGGGGUUGAAACUCAAAAUUUAAAGAUUAGAGACCUAUGUCCAAAAUUGGAGGGGUGUGAAUAACCAUUUUAGCUUUCUUUUGUUGCUAGCACUAGGAUUUUUUAUUGUUUGCUAUGGAUCAUUUUUCAUUUAGUGAGAGGUUUAGUAUAUACUUCUAACUUAAUAAUCAUCUAGACAUAUCGAUGACUGGGCAGUUUUUGUGCUGUUAAUAAUACACCUUAAAUGUAUAUUUCCAUUUAUUAAUUUCAAUCUAUAAAAGUACCUUUUGUUUUACUACAACAUAAGGACCUUUUGUUUUACUACAACAUAAGGACCUAUGUUAAAUUACCGAAAACAAAUGAGUGCUGAUUGUUUGGUAUAUCCAACCUUGUCAUAUAAUCCAUCCAACUUUGUUCUUCUUUUUCUUUCAAUGAAAACAACAUUUGUAGAUAGCAUAAUUAGUGCGUUUAUUGAUAGUUGGUGUAGAAAAUAUGAAUCUUUGGCCUUCGGUCAUUAUGGAGGAAGCCGGCUAGUUGUCACCACUACCUUAUAUUUUGUUCAUUCAGAGUAACCUCAGUUCCAUUUGAAGACACUGAAAGAAAAUAAGAUUGGAAGAAGUACCACGAGAAAUCCGUAGCUUGUAUCUCAAACGUCUGAAGUUUCGGCCAAAAUCUAUUUGGAAAUUUUAAACUAUGACAAUCUUUAGAGUUUCAACAAUUUUCUGUAGUUUUAGGAGAGUUCCAGACUUUUUUUUUUUAUCCCCAGAAUAGUGCGUUCCUUUCAACAACUGAAGCUUAUGACAGAGAAAGCAUAUUUCUCAACUCCAAUGUAGGAAAAUUAUCAUCUGUUCUUAGUUUUUGCAUACUCUUGACAUCUCUGACUUUGCUUUUCAAAUGUUGAUUAGGUCUUCUCAGCAUAAAAGUUAUAUCUGUACUUCAUCAGUGAAUUAGCUGCUUUUAAUGUCGAAUAUAUCAUUUUGCCAAUAGCAGUUUUCUUUUUUUGCUUUUUCAAUCAAUAUUCACCUUUAGAUUUUUCUUAUUCUAAUAAUUUUGAAAAGGUUGUUAUUACUUGAAGUCCAUAAACAACUUUUUAAGAACUGCUUAGUUGGUCUAGUUAGCCACCAAGGGAGAAAGUUCAGGAUUAAUUGGAAUUAUGCUUCCACUCGGUUUUAUCUAGGAUAAUGUUGUAUGGAGUUAAAAAUUGUAGGAAGACCCCCUCAAACAAUAGGCUGUAUAGAAAUAGACUUCUAAGUUAGUGUUUUUGUUUGGCACCACCUCAACUCUUUUUUCUUAUCUUACAUUACUUCUAAAUUGUGGAUUUCAUGAAGUUUGCCAUUGAUUCUGUAAAAUAUAAUAGCUCUAGCUACUUUUCAGAUAAUGAAACUCCGGAUUUCAUUAACAUCUAAAGGUAGUGCUGAUCGUCCCUAGUGCAAGUGGCAAAGGGCCCAAUGAUUGGUAUUCGAGGUCUCAAGUGCAAAGCCUAGUUGCUUUAUAUUUUUAGCUAAAUUCAUUUCUGGAAAAAAUAAUAAUAAUAACAAAGCAGGUAGCAGGCUAGUUUUCUCUCAAAAAAAAAAAAAACACUUAACAGUAGUAGCUAAUGAAGCCAUUUAUUUCAAUGAAUCCCUGAUGUAUGUUUGCUAUUAUCAUUACUGUCUUUAUAGCAUCUCUGCACACCAAUAUUUUGAUGAGAUAUUACAAAAACAUACAACUAGAAGAAAAUAUGUCAUCAAAGCAGCUUUCUAGAGUAACUCAAGCAACCAUCCCUUUAAUCUUUUUGUCACCAAGCUGAUUACUAUUGUUAUUUUCUUUCUUUUUUUUUUUUUCACAGGCCUAAGCUGUAAUUUGGAGAGGCGCGGCAAUUUUUGUAUUAUUUUGACCAAAUUAUCCUCCUCAAUGUUAAAAUUAAUCCCUUUCCUCUAUUUCUCCACUUCUCUUUUCUUUAUCCUUCUACCAUUAUCUACUUCUUUGCCACUUGAAACGCAAGCACUCCUCGACAUAAAGAGGCACUUAAAUGAUCCCAUGAACCAUCUUGCUAGCUGGAACAAAUCUAAUUCUCCUUGUCAAUUUUAUGGUGUCACCUGCGACUUAAGUUCCCAGCACGUGAUUGGAAUUGCACUUGCCAAUUUAUCAUUAUCUGGCUCACUAUCGCCCUCUGUUUCUCUUCUACCAAGUUUAGUUUCUCUAGAGCUUGGAGCAAAUAGCUUAUCAGGAAUUGUACCUUCCGAACUUGCCAACUGCACAAAUCUUCAAGUUCUUAAUCUCUCAACAAACAGCUUAACUGGUAAGGUGCCGGAUCUUUCAGCUCUAAAGAACCUUCAAGGUUUUGACCUGUCAACAAACGGCUUUUCCGGUGAAUUUCCAACAUGGAUCGGGGAAUUAUUAGGCCUAGUCGAGCUGGGCCUUGGAGAGAAUAAUUUUGAUGAGGGGUUUAUUCCACAAAAUAUUGGAAAUUUAAAGAAUUUGACAUGGCUCUUCUUGGGACAAUGUAAUCUCAUUGGCGAAAUACCGGCCUCCAUUUUCGAGUUAACUUCACUAGGAACAUUAGACUUCUCCAGAAACCAGAUCUCUGGGAUAUUUCCAAAAGCAAUUUCAAAUUUGCAAAAUCUCUACAAGAUCGAGCUCUUCCAGAACAAUUUGACUGGAGAAAUCCCUCCUGAGCUUGCAAAGCUCACACUAUUAUCUGAAUUUGAUAUUUCUCGCAACCAACUGAGUGGAGAGAUUCCUCCUGAAAUCGGUAGCCUUAAAAAGCUGAAAAUUUUUCAUCUGUAUCGGAACAACUUCUCGGGUGAAAUUCCUGAAGGAUUUGGGGAGCUGGAGUUUCUUUGGUCAUUUUCCAUCUAUGAGAAUAGUUUUUCUGGAAAAUUUCCUGCAAAUUUCGGUCGUUUCUCGCCACUCAACAGCAUAGACAUAUCUGAGAACAAUUUCUCCGGUGAAUUUCCCAGAUUCCUUUGUCAAAACAACAACCUUCAAUUCUUGCUCGCUCUUGAUAAUGACUUUUCGGGUGAAUUUCCAGAUUCUUAUUCAUCUUGCAAAACUUUGCAGAGGUUUCGAAUUAGUCAGAACCACUUCACCAGGAAAAUCCCCGACGGUAUCUGGGGAUUGCCAAAUGCAGUAAUUAUUGAUGUAGCAGACAAUGGUUUUGUUGGAGGGAUUUCUUCAGACAUAGGAGUUUCAGCUAGUCUAAAUCAGUUAUAUGUUCAAAAUAACAAGUUCGUUGGGGAGCUUCCUCCUGAACUGGAGAAUCUGUACCAGUUGCAGAAACUUUUUGCUUUUAAUAACAGCUUUUCUGGCCAAAUCCCUUCUCAAAUUGCCUCCCUCAAGCAGUUAUCAUCUUUGCAUUUGGAAGGAAAUGUCCUUACAGGACCAAUUCCUUCGGAAGUCGGGUUGUGUACUAACCUGGUAGACCUAAAUCUUGCACAAAAUUUAUUGGGAGGUACUAUUCCAGAAACACUAGAUUUACUUACUUCCCUCAAUUCGCUCAAUCUAUCCCAAAACUAUCUCCGCGGCUCAAUUCCAGAGGGUUUGCAAGCAUUAAAGCUAAGUUAUGUCGAUUUUUCCAAUAAUCAAUUAUCAGGAGGGAUACCACCAGAGCUUCUGCUAAUAGCUGGUGAAGAAGCAUUUUCUGGAAAUGACGGGCUUUGUAUUGAAGAGAUUCCCAGAACCCAGAAAUACUCUAGUUUAAGUUUUUGCAAUUCGAAUCAUGGCCGCAAUGGUGUUUUGGGAAGGCGAGUAGUUCUUAUGAUAAUCAUCUUUGUAGUAUUGAUUGUCCUUUUAGCUGGCCUGGCAUUUGUGAGCUAUGAAAGCUUUAAGCUCGAAGAACGUCGCAAAAGGAGAGAUUUUGAUGAGUGCAAAGGAAAAGAUUCAAAGUGGGUACUCGAAUCUUUUCAUCCAAUGGAGCUUGAUCCAGAGGAAAUAUGUAAUCUGGAAGAGGAUAAUUUGAUUGGAAGUGGAAGCGCAGGUAAAGUUUAUAAAUUGGAUUUGAAUAAAAGCCGAGGAACUGUUGCUGUAAAGCAAUUAUGGAAAAAUGAUGCAGCAAAAGUACUAACGGCAGAAAUAAACAUUUUGGGAAAGAUCAGGCACAAAAAUAUAUUGAAAUUGUAUGCUUUGCUAAGAGUAGGGGGAUCAAAUUUUCUUGUUUAUGAAUAUAUGCCGAAUGGCAAUUUAUAUCAAGCUCUUCGAAGGGAAUUUAAAGGUGGGCAGCCAGAGUUGGAUUGGAAUAAAAGGUAUAAGAUUGCUGUGGGGGCUGCAAAGGGUAUUAUGUAUCUUCAUCAUGAUUGCUCUCCGCUCAUUAUUCAUAGAGACAUAAAAUCCACUAAUAUAUUGUUAGAUGAUGAGUAUGAUGCAAAAGUUGCUGAUUUUGGAAUAGCAAAGAUUGCAGAAGGGUCGGAGCUCAGUUGUUUUGCUGGUACUCUUGGUUAUCUUGCUCCUGGUAUGCUUGCUGCUAGAGUGUAUGCACUCAUUUUUUUUUAAGUUCUUUCCCUUUUCUGAUUUAUUCCUUGCUUUACCCUGUCCUGUAGGGAAUUAAAAGAUCAGAGUAUUCAUCAGUACGCGCCAUUUUAUGUUGAUUUGAUUUUGUACAGAAGUUAAUUGGAAUUUUAUCCAUUUCUCAAACUAAGAAGCAUACAUUAUUAGUGUGUAUUCUUUAUUAACAAUUUAGAACAUGUGAAGUAUAACUUUGCUGUCAUGGUUGCAUUUCACCGCAGCAUGUAUCACAUAUAGAGAAGAAAUCGAUAUAAAUUUUUGCUCAUGAUAUUCCUUCCUAUUUCAAGAACAUAUGUUUGAUUUUUUCCCUUACUAAUUUUAAUUGCACAUAAUGUUUCUCAGAGCUUGCAUACUCUCUCAAGGCAACAGAGAAGAGUGAUGUCUAUAGCUUCGGUGUUGUCUUACUGGAAUUGCUCACAGGCCGCAGUCCAAACGAUCCUCAAUCCGACAAUGGAGAAGAUCUCGUCUGUUGGGUAUUGACUCGCCUAGACGGCCAAAACUUCUCAAAAGUCUUUGACCCAAGGGUGUCUAUUUAUGCAGAAGAAGAUAUGCUGAAAGUUCUAAAUAUAGCCAUUCUCUGCACGAAUAAGUUGCCGUCGGUGCGGCCUACCAUGAGAGAAGUAGUCAACAUGCUUAUUGAUUCUGGUCCUUGCUCUAUCAGGAAGAGAGCAAAGAGCUUUGGUAAUAACUGCUAGCUUUUCCUUAAGCAGCUCUUUUUGUAUAGGGGCGUUUACACAAAUAUCCCUGCAUUUAGUUACAUAGAUCCUAUGCGAAUUCCGAAUUCUCAAUACAUUCCCCAUGCAGCUCUUUGAAAGAACCUUAUCUUUAAGUUGGGCAGUCAUCGGAAUCCCUGGAGGGUUGAAGCUUGUUGUGAAUCUAAAAUGAAUCUAAGUGCGUCAUUUUCAUAACUACAAGAGCAUAUGCUUUAAUGAUCUUUGAUGAAAACUCAGAUUUUGCAGGGAACUGUGUAAACAGAGAAUCUGUAGGGAUGUAUGUGUAAAUUACCCAUGUUGUAUAAUAUCAGUGUAGUAAUGAGAAUGUUUAGGUAGUCUAGCUCAUGUACAAGAUAUUCAGUUUUAGAAUUGCUUCUUUUAUUGAUCUAGGAAAUGCCGUAGGAGGCAUUUGGUAUCAAUUUAGGACUCAACACUUGUAUUUGAUCAUCUGUAUGCUAGCAAUAGAUUUUCUUUUCUUUUUUUUAUUUCUCAAGCCCUAUGAACCAUGGAUAUGGUCCUGUGGAUAUCCGGUACAGGCGCGAUGUUACGACAAACGCACAAACGGAAACGAAAUGACGAACACAAACACAAUCAAACCAUAAGCAGAAAAAAUAAAGAGACACAGAUUUACGUGGAAAACCCUUUGCAGGGAAAAACCACAGGCGAGGGAGGAGAGAUCUUCACUAUGGAACGAAAAAGGGAAUACAAAGUUCUUCAGGUUACAACCAACCACGAUCACACGCCUCUAGGGCAUAAACGAUAAACGAAAAGAAAAAACUCAUAACGGGUUUCGGAUCCGAUCCGUACCGCGGGGGGCUGUCGGCCCGAGCCCUCCGCUACCCACCACAGACAUUCAUUUUUCCUCCAUAAUUUUCUUUUCUAAAUUGGUCGCACCGCGAAGCUGUCGGCAAGUCGUAAACCCGAACCUGAAUCGAUAGUAGAUUUCGAGUCACAUCUAACACGCGACAUGAGAUGCAGGAUACAAUAUGGUCAGAAUAUGCGUACGACAUGAAAGUUGAUCUACACACAUAUCAACAUAAUCUUAUGUCCUACAUGCAUGCAUUUGCACAUACAUACUAGAUGAUACCUGCAGCUGUGGGUAUAUAAAGAACUUCUUUGAUAGGUAAACACUAACUGACAAUCUGUUUCAUGUAAUAGUAAAAUGAUUGUUUUGCUCUAAAUACUUGACAUCAACAAAGGUAUCUCCAAUAUAUAUGACAACAUAAAAACAAAAUUUCCAUUGAUAAAGUAAAUACAUAGAACAUUAGAAUAUUCAAUCUAUAAAUCGUAAUGCAUUAUUGUCAUAGUGGAAGUAAAUUUGAGGCUCUUUAAUGACCUCUAUAGCCUUUCCAACAUAAAAAUGAGCAAGAAUUUUUUAAUAUGUUCUGUGGGGCAUUUUCAUUUAAUAAUUUUUAUUUACAAUUAACUAUCUACUGGGUCAUGAAUGUGGAUUGGAUCGGAUGGCUUGCAUGGUAUCACUUGUUGCAGGAUGAGAGUGGAUCAGCUAGUUAAAAAACAAUGCAGUCGAUUAAAAUGAAAGCCAACUAAGAGGUACGUAAAGUCUAAUUGUCAUAAAUCGAAUUACUCUUUCACAUUCAAUAUAUUGUAAUAAGUUGUCAACAUGGUGAAUCUCUACUGUGAUCUUUCUCUUCUGUUUUCUUCUGAUGUAAAUGUAAUGAUAGAAGAUGAGAUCUCUUCUUAGUAUCACUUGAAAGGUAUAACCCCUAGUGGUUUUUUUUCCUACUGUUAUGAUGAUUCCCUUUUCUCUUUUUUUUUUUAAAUUUUUUUGUUCUGGUGAAUUAAGGAUUCGACCUUGUGCUCUUCCACAUUUUUCUGCUCUCAUUUUUCGCUUUACGAGCUUUUUCGAUCUACAAUCCAAUGUACCUUUCAAGACCUAACAGCCCGUAUUAUAUUAGAUUAAAGUCCUCCCUUUCUCUCGAUUGUGUCGCUCCUGCUGGUCUCUUCAGAACAAGGUUUUAAGUGCCCGUCGGCACGAGCCGUAUCCACCGUGCCGUACCGUGCCAACAAGAUACCGGCACGAUACAGACCCCGUGCCGACGGCACAGUUCAAAACCCUCUAUUCUUUAAAUUAGUAAGUAAUUUCCUCAAUAAAGUUCAAAAGAUGUGAUAAAAAGACAUAAUAAAUAGUUAGAAUAUUUUGUUGCUAAAGAAAAUAAAUAUUUCAUGCUAUUAUGUGUCGGCACACAAGGUGUUUUUUUUAUCGGCACGCACCGUGCCGGCAAGUUUCCGGCACGACCCCGUGCCAUGGCACUUAAAUCCUUGCUUCAGAACUCUUAUUUUUGAAACCCUCAAUAAUAUUUCUCCACCAAUAUAUCUAUCAACCAUGAUUCCUAGUAGUUUUAUUAUAACCUUAUAUGCCACUAUUUGCAACCUAUAUAAGCCCCCUCAAAACUAAACUUUUUUUUUUAAAAAAAUUCAAGUUAGAUUCCUCAUUCCUAUGCUAUAUUCGAGUAGAAUGCAAGGAGUCUCUCUUAGGGUGCGUUUGGUUCGCAUUAUAAAAGAUUACUAGGAAUAAAAGAUAUCCGAGAAUCUUAUUACUAUUCAUCCUAUUACUAAGAAUGUGGAAUUCCUGUGUUUGGUUCACACAGUAAUAUUAAUUAGCCAUGUUAUUUAAUAUUACAAAAAUUAUACAAUUAAUUAAUUUAUUUAUUUAUUUAAUUUUAGAUAAUGUUACCAAAAGUUUCAACAUCUUUUUAGAAAAAAGAGAGAGAGAGUAUAAGUUAGAGAGAGAGAGCAUAAUUAAAAAAAUAGAAAAAAAAAUAUAGUCGAAAUUAGAGGAAGUGAGAGAGUUGAAAUUUUAGAAAGAGAGAGAGAGAGAAAGCUUAGUUUAGAGAGAGAAAAAAAAGUUGAAUUUUAGAGAGAAAAAUAAGUUUAGAGAGAGAUGUAAGGUUAGAGUGUAAAGAAAAAUAAUAUCAAUUAGCCGGCGGGUAGGAAGAAAGAAAGAGAUUAGACAUAUUAUGAUUACCCCAAUCCAUUAAUAUGAGGAUACCCACCCUCCCUCAAGGGAAUGAGAUUAGUACUUUGGGGUGAAUCUUAUUCCCAAGUAAAUCCAAUAUUACCAACUAGAUUACUUAGUGCGUUUAGCCAAACAUCGUCAUAUUUUUUUAUUCUCAUUGGAUUACUAGGAAUCUUUAAAAGAUAGCGCGAACCAAACGCACCCUUAAGGUAAAGUUUGUAAUGAAAAGACCAAGCUGGUAUUCUUUUUCUUUCUUCGAUAGUCCGAAAUUACCAAAAUAUGAUAAUGAAGCUUUCCUGCUGGAUUAUUCUGGUGCCUGGGUGGUCACAUUCUCGUAGGCCCCCAGAAAAGGAAAAAAGAAAAAUUGUGUCACAACAAUGGAAGCAACGCAUAUAUUUAUGUAUGAAGCAACAAACAGAUGAUGGAGUAGUGUCAAAGAAUUGCUGUUAGAAUGUCAUUUUACAUGCUAAUCAAAGAGUUAUCUUACGACAAGCAUUGACAAAUCCACAUUUUUCAUCAGGUUACUGUUACUAUUAAUAAAUUGAUAGUUGUACAUGUAUGUAUUGUUUUUAGUGGACUUGUUUAGUUGGAAAGGCAUAUUCUUUCCCUCUUUAUUAAGUUAAUGUGCAGGAAAUGUUAUUAUUCAAGUUUUCUACUUCCCAUAGCAUUCUCUCUUUAUAUAUUUUUAUGUAAACCUGGAUAAAUGUGUGUCCCACUUGUUGCAGGAUGCAAGUUUUGUUACUGUUUGAUUUUAUCCAGAAACAUGUACUUGAUAUCAGCAUUCCACAACAAAGCCUUCGCUUUCUUAGAUCAAAAUUACGCGACACCAGUCGCGUUCUGCGGUAUGAAUUCAGAGCUUUUCAACUCAAUUGAUGUCUCAAAUGAAUAGUGAUUUGAUUAUACUGAUAUCUGAAAACUCUGCUUAUAUGAUAUAAUGCCUGAACAAUAUCUCUGUUGCUUGGUUUUCUCUGGAUUGAGGUUGAAUUAGUCGGCCUUCAUGUUGAAAACUUUAUACAUCAAAUUGUGCGAAUUCGAAUGCACUCAGAGCUGAUGCAAGAGACUCUUGAAUUUCGUUUUUCUUUUAACUGUACUCUAUGCCCUAAACCCCUUUUACAUAAUCAUAUCAAUGAAUAUGAUUCAGCACAAUGAUCUAAACUAUUAUACAUUAUUAUUUGGGGUUAACAUUCUUUCUAUGCUGUGAUUUUUUGGAGCCAAUUUUUGAUGAUAGUUAUGUUUGCUUGUUCUCCUUCUCUUUAGAACAUUAUUUCUAGAGGAGGAUUAAAUUUAUUAGAUCUAGUGUUCUAAAUUGAUUGUUUUUUUUUUAAGGAAUAAUUGCCUAUAUACCCCUCAAAACUUUGAAAAUAUCUCAUUUGUCCAUACUAUUUUUUUUUUUCCAAUGUACUCCUCAUAUAUUCCUCCGUUAUUUCAGAAUAUUCCUAUAAUUAUCACCCGUUAAGUUAACUUAGGUUAAAUAUGAGUUAAAUAUUUAACAGAGUUAAAAAAAUAAUAAUGGCAAAUAAGAUAUGUUUGUGAUGAUAGAAGGGUAACUUAAGGGCAAAUGAGAAAUGUUUGUAAUGAUAGAAGGGUAACUUAAGGGUAAAUAAGAAAUGUUUGUGAUGAUAGAAGGGUAUAUUUGAAAAGAACAAAAAAUUAAAAUAUUUUUUUUGCCCCUAACUUAAUGGCAAAUAAAAAAAGUCAGUGAUGGUAGAAGGGUAUAUUUGAAAGGGCAAAAUAGUAAUUUUAUAGAAAUAACAGCUACUGCUAACAAUCUUUUUUUUUUUUUUUGAGAAAGGCAGCACGCUACCUGCUUCAUUCAUGCUAUCGCUAACCGUUCAUAAAUAGAAUUUAACUCUAUGGGUAUAUUUGAAAUAUGUUGAAAUGUAAAAAAGGUAUUUGAAAUAUUAGCCUUCUCUAAGGAGGAUAAAUCAGAAAAUCGAGAAUUUUUCAGGGGUAGAUAAGUAGUUGCCCCUUUUUUUUAAAUACCAAUCAAAGAGAAAAAUGUUGUGGCAUGAUUAAUUGAAUUUGGGGUUACAAAGAAAGCAAUUAAUAUUCGACGGAAGCACAAGUGGCAAAGGGCUUGGUGGUUGGUAUCCGAGGUCCCAAGUUCGAAUCCUAGUUGAUUCACAUUUUCAGCUAAGUUUAUUUCUAAAUAAAAAAAUAUUCGAGGGAUUGUGAUGUUGCUUGGACGGUUCAUACUCUCUAUUAUUAUUAUUAUAUAUAUAAUUUGAUUACUUAUUGACUUAGACUGGUCAAACCCUAUCACAUUAGAGGAGAGCUAACAAGUGGUUCAAAUUAUAUGUUUAACUCUUUAAUUUUAAUUUUAAUUUAUAUUCAAAAUUCAAAUUCCACACCUAAAUUUCGACCUUAAGUGUGAAUUUAACUUUUUUUAUUUAAAGAACUUCAAAUGGUUUAGUUAUCCAUUUAAUUUAAAUUCAUAUUUUAAAUUAAAGGGUUUGAAAUUUUUUGACAAUAAUUUAUAAAUUUUAGAAAAGAUUUUUGUUUACUAUUUGACAAUAAUAACAUCACAUGAUUAAAUCCUUCCCUCGUGAAGUCACGUAGCCCAUGGACUUUUUAACCAAUGAGGUAAUGCCACAUGCCUAUAGAAAAGUUUGGAUGUGCCCGGUUCACAAUAAACCGACUAUAAAUUGUACAUUAAAAAUAAAAUGUCGAUGAGAUAAUAAAUUAUUUAAAUAUUUUUAUUAUAUUAUAUUUUAUCUUAUAUUAAAUAUUCCAUCAAUUAUAUAAUAUUCUGUGCAGUAUACGAAAAAUUAGUAUGUAUUAGAUGCAAACAAAAAUUUCUCCUUUCUUUUGAAAUUAUAUGUGUACCGUACUAAGCAUUUUCUGCACCCGGAUAUAUUUAUGUAUAUUUGCCACAUGCUCAACAUUCUUUAAUAGAGAUUUUUAAAUUAAUACAUCAAAUAUAAUUUAAAUUAUUAGACUUUAUAAAUAAGGUAUAUUUAAUUAAUUUUUUGAUAAUGGAUCAUUAGUCAUCUAAUAUAAAUUGUAGCGUGUAGAGUAAUAAUAUGCACCAGAUAUAUGCAAUAUUUGCUUCUCUUCUAAUUAAUUUUAAUAAGGUAAAAGACAAUCUCACCUAUUCAUUAAUUUGAUUUGAAAUAAGUUCUUCAAUUUUAAUUUUUUAAUUAAAAAAAUUUACUUACAGGAUGGCCAUAAAAUUAUAAAUUUUACUAGUAAAGUUUUAAAUAAAAUUUUUAAAAUAAUUCAACUCUAUAAAUAUUAAAAUUUAAGAAAAUAUUAUUAUUUUUUUAAUGUAUAUAGGACUAUUUUAUAAUUUUUUUAUAUUUUUAAUAUAUUUUUUAUUUUUAAAAUUUUAAUAAUUAUAUAUUUUAAUUGGCUGAAAUAUUAUCUACCCGCCGCGAAGCACGGGUCCUAUACUAGUUUAGAAAUAUAAGGUACUCACCACUCUCUAAAGUUAAUAAAAUUAGAUCUUCAGAAAAAAAAAAAAAAAAAAAAAAAAAAAAAAAAAACUGAGCUAGUUUGAGGAGCCAUGUCGGCGAGCUCUCCGGCGCCAUCGAGUGCCGACAACACUUGGUACUNUUUAUGAUUAGAUUUUGUGGGUCACAUCAGAUUUAAAUUGUAAAUUACUUUUAUUAAAGAACAAUUAAUUUGAGGACUAAAAUUUAGACAUUGGUGCACCUGGUUUGGUGUAGCCAAUAAUUUUGCCCUCUCCAUCCAAGGUGGUUAGUAACAUGGCAUUUUUAUGGUGGCGACGUGGCACUGCCAGGGUGUCAUGUCACUGUCAAAUUAGUAUGCACUUGUUGAUUGAGUGAUCACAUCCCAGCCCACUGAAUAUGCUCCUCGCCGGACGAUCCUACAGCUCAUUUGAUGAUAAAAUAUAUUUAAAAUUAUUGAAUUAGUCGUAGGAUGAACGACGAGAUGUAGACGAGCGUGAAAUUGAGUAAUGGCGGGACUGGUUAGCGCGCGUGUGUGUGUGUGUGCAGAAAAAUUAUAUGCAUGCUCUGAAUAGAUUAUCAAAUCAUACUUAGGAGCUGUUUGAAGAUAAAACUUAAGUAGAGAGCUCUCUAAUGGCACUUUGUUGGAAUCCUCGUAUUCACUGUCAUGUGUUAAUUUUGCUUUCACAAAGACAAAAUUAAUAUAUGGCAGCAAAUCCGAGACCCCUCGAUGGAGCUCCAAAAUAAAAUUUUUCUUGCCGUUUAGUACGAGAUUUGUAAUAUUUUUAAAAUAUUAUAUAUUUAAUAUCCAGAAUAGAACUACUUUACUAAUAUUUUUCGCAAUCAUUGAACAUGAGUUAAAUAGUAAUGAUUCGAAUAUUAUCAAAAAAAUAUAUAGAGAAUUAUUGGAACAAAGCCAAACAUGCCAUCACAUUGAUGAUCCAAUCAUAUGAUGGGAUGAUGAACCCAAUAAUAGAACUUGAUUGGAGUGAUUAGGAAAGAUCAAACUAAAAAUUAUAUUAAAAAAAUAUAUAUAUAUUAUAUCAAAUCAAAGUUUGGGGGUUUAGGUGUGAUCCGUCUCAUAGUUUGAAUCCGAGUUGUGCAAUUUAUAGCCCAUAGUUAUUAUUUGAUUCAAAGCUUGCUUGAAUCUCAUAGUGUUUUAAUAGCUACAAUCUUAAAUAAAGUAUUUUGCGUAGAAAAAAGAAAAAAAAAAUGUUUAAAGUUUUUGCUACGUCGAAAAGUAGAAAUAAGAGUACAAGCAUCAAAAACAGAAAUUUGAUGUUUUAUUUGGUAUUGUUGCUAUUUUUUUUUUUUUUUAACUCUGUAAGCAUUACAUUAAUUCUAUAUAAUUUGAUAUAUCGUUGAAUGGACAGUUCUAUUGCUGUCAUAGUUGGUUAGGUUGCUACGUCCCACUCCACUCAAGCAAAAUGACAAUUUUACAAAUCUCUUUGAAUCCCAAAAAGAGCUAUUUCUAAAGUUUUAUUUUUUUAUUAUCAAACAAACAAUUUAGACAUAAAAAUUAGAAUAAACUUUAAAUAUCAUCCCUAUAAUUUUGCACUUUCUCAUGUUAGUACCCUAUAGUUUAAAGUGUAUCAAUUAGUAUUCUGUAGUUUUAUUUUUCUCUUUUCAUCAGCUUCUCAGUUAAUAUUUCGUUAAAUUAUAUACAAAAAAUUUCAGAUACCCUACCUAGAUUUAGCGAAUAUUCACUUUAGUACCUUUUAGUUUUAACUUUAUCACUGAUUCAACAAAAAAAAAUUAGUGGAAUAAAAAAAAAUGAGAAAAAUGAAAACACAGAGUAUUAAAUUGAUACACUUUAAACCACAGGACACUAAAGUGAGAAAGUGCAAAACCACAGGGAUGGUAUUUGAGGUUUUUUCUAAAAAUUAUAAGCAAUUCACGAUUCCAUCUUACAGUAUUUUUUAUGUUAGGAAAUUUAUUUGGAAAAACUAAAAUUACAAUGAAUGGUUGCAUUAUGAUUUAAAAGCAAGUUGUUAAGGAAAUUCAAAUGCAGUAAUUCCACUAAAUACUAACUAAUAGAACCAUGUAUAUCUUACAGCAGAGCCAAACAAACUCUAAACCAUAUUGUAAUGAAAAUAAAAUUAAAAAAAAUAAUAUGCAAACUAAUAAUUUUUUUAAAAAAAAGUAAAGACGUAUCGAACUUACCAGAACUAUGAAUCAUUUUUGAAUCUACUGUCCGACCUUUCAAAUUUUUGAUUUUAUUAUAUUACCUUUUAAUUUGUUUGAUUUGAGUCAGUCGAUAACACUUUAGACUUUAAAAUUUAAGCUAAUUACUUAUUUAUAUUAAUAAAUUUAUAGCUGUAAGAAGUAUGCUAAUUAAAUCUAUAAAAAUAAACGAAGAUGGAUUCAGAUUUUGAAGUUAAAGUAAUCUCGACGGACUCAACUCAAAUAAAUUGAAAAAUUGGAUAGUAAAAUCAAAAUAUUGAAAGAUUUGAUAGUCGGUUCAAAAUAGUCCAUAAUUCAAAUAAGUUCUGUACUUUAUUAUUUUUUUUUAAAAAAAAUGUAAUACAAAGGUCAAACCCUUAACAAAUUAAAAAUGUAUUUUGUGAAGUUUCUCUUCAUUGGGUUGUGCUAAGACUCACCAACCCUGCAGAGUAGAGAUUGAUAUUGGGCCCCACUGAUCUACCAACUAAUUAAUCCCAAAUAACAUCCCAAAUUAAUAAAUUUAAACCCACCAAAAAAAAUAAAAAAAAUGAGAAAUCAAACUUAGCCCUUUGUUUGUUUGAAAUUGUUGCUCUAAUUUUUAAAUUAAAACAUAUAGAAACCCCCUAAACUUUNACGCGAUCCAAAAUUGCUUUAACCGGAAAGGAGGUUGCGUGCAUCUCUUUUGGGCAUUUGAUUUUGACGAAGUAUUCAAAAUUGCCGACAAAAUAAAAAAAAUGAGAAAUCAAACUUAGCCCUUUGUUUGUUUGAAAUUGUUGCUCUAAUUUUUAAAUUAAAACAUAUAGAAACCCCCUAAACUUUAACCCGUUUUUAAUUUGAUUUACACUUUCUAAAUUCAUCAGCUAUUUGAUUUUAGCUUAUUUUGUCGGCAAUUUUGAAUACUUCGUCAAAAUCAAAUGCCCAAAAGAGAUGCACGCAACCUCCUUUCCGGUUAAAGCAAUUUUGGAUCGCGUGUAUUUUUUAUGAGUAUUUGUUUUGGUUUUAAUAUUUUUUUCCAAACUUAUUAAUGGAAUGUACUAAAUCAAAUGACUAGUAAGUAGAAGAGGUGUAAAUUAAAAUUUUUUUUAAAAAAAAUUAGGCGGUCAAUUUAAUAUACCGACAGAAUAAAUUUUUUUUUCUUAUUUUGAUGAUUACCAACUUGUAAGAUAUCUCGGCCAAGUGAUAGAUGACAAUUUAUGUAGAAAAUAAUUUCUAAGAUAAAAAUAAUUAGCUUUCAAAUGUUUAAAUUUUGAAUUUAAAAUUUCGAAUACUGGUUAUUAAAAUUUUUUUAUCACUUACGUUACGAACGGUCUGUUAAUAAGAUUUAUUUUUGGAUAUUGAUUCUGCACAAAUCAAAUGUGCAAGAAAUCCUACACGUCUGCUGAUUUGGCCAGCAAUCCCAAAGUGGAGGAGUGAGAUCUGCCAUUCUGCCAAUGAUUGGGAUGCAUCCUGCACUUCAAAUAAACUGUCAGAUUGCCUGUCUGCACUCCCAUGUAUGGAACACUUCCAAUCUAAGAUUGGCUGAUUUUUUUUUAAAAAAAAAAAAACUCUAGCUAAUUAAUAAAAAGAAAAAACUUCAAAAAAUGCUCCUGUAGUUUCGCACUUUUUUAUUUUCAGUAUCCUAUGAUUUAAAGUGUAUCAAAUUAAUACCCUGUGGUUUCGCACUUUCUCACUUUAGUACCCUGUGGUUUAAAGUGUAUUAAGUUAGUACUCUGUGGUUUUAUUUUUGUAUCAUGUUAGUACCCUGUGGUUUUAUUUUUUUAUCAAGUUAAUACCCUGUGAUUUUAUUUUUUUUAAUAAAAUAUUAAACCACAUGGUACUAAAGUGAGAAAGUGCAAAACCACAUAGUACUAAAGUGAGAAAGUGCGAAACCACAAGAUACUAACUUGAUACACUUUAAAUCCAGGAUACUAAAGUGAGAAAGAGUGAAACCAUAGGAAGGGUAUUUGAAGUUUUUCCUAAUAAAAAGCAUAUAAGCUCUCAUAUAAUUAAGCUAUAGGAUUAAUUACAAUCAAAAGGUGGUUCUAGGAACUGAAAAGGUGAUUAACACAUCCAAGAAUUUAAAUAUUAUUUUACAUUUUUAGUAUGAAAAAAAAGAAUAAAAGUACAACAAAAUUAGUGUAGAAAAGUAUGCCCUUUAAAGGAAUGUAAAAUUUACACUUUUAAGAUGUAGAAAAAGCAUUUCUCAAAUUUCAGUAAACUAGUCCAUGCCACAGUUAAUUAAUUCGCAAAUUAUUGAAAAUUCGAAUAAAACAGUUCGUAAAUAAUUUUGUCUCAAAAAAUUAGAAUAAAACGUAAAUUUUUGGGUUAGAUUUACUAUUCGCAAAUAAUUAGGGUAUGCCAAACUAUUCGGCUAAAAUAACAUGCAAAAUUUUUGAAUAAAAUCUCUUUGUCCAUUAAUUUGAGAAUUAUUGACAACUUACUUGCGAAUUAUUCACGAAUUAUUAAAAAACUUCAUGAAUUUUCGGAAAAUGUGGUCAUGAAAAAGGUGAAAAGUGAGACUCCAAUGAACCUUGCUUCUGCUCUUUUUACUUUACCUACUUUAUUUUGUAACUCCCUUUUUUUUUAUAUUCUUAAGAAUUAUAAUUGUUUAUGCUAGUAGCAAAAAUCUAGAGAAAAAAAUUUAAUUUAAUAGCUGAAUUUUUUAUCCCGAAUUUUUAAUUGGUGAACAUAUAAUUUUCGUUUAAAUCGCGUAUCUGAAUAAUUGACAAAUUCAUCUUUUAAACUGUAUUUUUUUAACUAACUUAAAAAUCAAGAUCCGAAUUUUAUUUAUGUUGUACCCGAUCCGAAUUAACUAGCUAUGUUCCACGCAGCAUGAGUUGUACUUCUCAAUCUAUUACCAUUUCAACACAAAAAGGUGUGGCCUAUUACAGAAAGGGAAAAGGGAAUAAUAGUGUUUGGUCACACAUAACAUUCACUACAUCUCUCUCUCUCUCUCUCUCUCUCUCUCUCUCUCUCUCUCUCUCUCUCUCUCUCUCUCUCUAGAUAAGAUGUGAAAAGUUGAAAAUUAUGUGGAAAAUGAAAGGUCAAGUGUGCCAUCCAAUUAUUAUUUUAUGAAAAUCAGCAUAAAGUAAUUGCAUUGCCUCCUCUUUUAUUAUUAUUAUUAUAAUACUUUCUAAUCACAAUUCGAGUUAUGUACUGUCUAUUUUUCAUCAUCUUAAUAUCACGAAAGAAAAAAAGCAAAAUAAAAUAAAACAAAAAAGAAUUUAUGGACAAACAAUAUUAACUCCUAUUCUCAAACAAUCCUCAUAAACGAAAAGAAUAAAUAAUAAUAAUAAUAAUAAUAAUAAGAAAAAAAAAGGACCUUUUCACACCGCUAAAUCUCCUCAAUUUUAGACUCGAAUCGGGCGAGUUGAUUCUGUACAAUCUUGUGUGUUGAAAAUUUUUAUCCCAAGGCAAACUUGGCAUACCAAUGAAUAUCCAUGUAACAUGCAAUUUUGCAUGUGAGUUAACCUGGAUGCUAGUUCAGCAUCGGUCGCGAAAUACAUUCGAGCCAUAAGUUGGUCAAUCCUUAUGCACACAGGAAUUGCUUACACGUGCGUAGAGAGAUGUCCGACGAACUCUGAUCCCUCAUCCUCCGCCAUCGCCGGCUUUUUUCCCUACCGAGCCUUCGCCUCGGCCUGGCACAAGCGCGGCACGCUCGAGCUCCGCAACCACUAACCGUCAUCGUCGCUCCCGCUGCCCUCGCCCUCACGCACUCGGCGCCGGCUCGGGAUGAGCGCUUUCGGCCGAACUCGUCUCUCACACGCUCCGCUCCGUUCGGGCUCGGCGGCCCCACCCUGCCGGCCACCACCUCCCCCCCCCCCGCCUCUAUCGCCGGCACCGCCAUCUCCACCACGUUCCGUGGCGACCCCAUCGUCGUCUCUACCUCUUCCCCUCCACCGCCGCCACCGCCGCCACAUUCUCGGUGUAUCGCCUUCCUCCCAGUGAUCAGCUCCAGCAGCACAACUCCGAAGCUGUAGACGUCGCUCCUCUCCGUGAGCCGCUGCAUCCGGUAGUACUCCGGGUCCAUGUAGCCCACCGUCCCCGCCGCAGCGGAGGCAACGCCGCCGAUCAUCGGCACGGAGAGCCCGAAGUCGGAGAUCUUCGCCGUCCAAUCCGUGUCCAGCAGUAUGUUCGAGGACUUCACGUCGCGGUGGACCACCGCGGGGACGGCGUAGGAGUGCAGGUACUCCAGGCCCCGCGCCGCGCCGAGCGCCGUGCGGAGCCGCGCCGCCCACGACGAGUAUAUCGGCGAGGGCGGGGACGCGGCGGCGCCGUGGAGGUGGUCGUGGAGGGAGCCGUUGGGCAUGUACUCGAAGACGAGCACGCGCUCGCCGCGCCCGCGGCUGUAGCCGAGGAGCCGCGCCACGUUGCGGUGGCUCAGCCGCGCCAGGAGCCCCAGCUCGGCCCGGAACGCGCGCUCCGACUCCCCCCACCGGCUCCGGCUCCGGCUCCGGCGCGGGGGGGGCGGUGGCGGCCCCGCCGCCGCCGCCGCCGCCGAAGUCGAUCCCCCGUCCUCGGCGCGCUUGACCGCCACCUCGCGCCCGUCGGGGAGGGCCGCGCGGUACACCGCGCCGAAGCUCCCCGCGCCGAUGCGCCGCGCCGCCGCGAACCCCUCCGUCGCGCGCUCCAGCGCCUCUAUCUCGAACUCCUCGCACCCGUACUCCCCCUUCCCGGCCGGCUCCGCCUCGAGCCGGUCGCCGCGACUCCGCCGCCGCCGCCGCUCCCCCGUCCGCGCCGCGUCGUGUACGCGCCGGUCGCAGGUCCCGAAGAAAGCCCCGUAGGCCGCCGCGCCGACCAAGGCGGCGGCGGCGGCGCCGAUCCCCACGAACCCGGCGAUCGCGAACGCGGCGUGCUUCCUCCUCUCCCCGCUCAAGCCGCCCCCUCCCGGGCUAGCCGAGCCCUCGGCGAUCCUGCAGGGCCGGCAAAUCGCGUCCCCGCCGCCGCCGCAGAGGUCGCCGGAGCCGGCCAGGACGCCGCAGGCGCACGCGCGCUGGGGCGCGCACGGCCCCGGCGCGACGCGGUCGAAGACGACGCGCCCGCCCGGCCCGAAGAGCCCGCCCCAGCACACCGCCGAGUAGUUGGCCAGGAGCACGCCGCACACGGCGCCGCCGCGGGCCUCGAUGGCCGCGAACUCGGCGCCCGCGAGGGCGCUAGGCACCGCGGCGGCGCCGCCCCAGCAGCGCACGGCGCCGCUCUCGGCGAGGGCGCACGUGCGGUCGUCGCCGAGCGCGAGGGCGGCGAUGUCGGCUGGGGGGUCGUCGUCGUCGUCGUCGUCGUCGGGGAGGUCGGGCGGCGCGCCCGCGCCCCAGCAGGCGAGGCGGCCGGGCCGCAGGGCGACCGCGCACGCGUGGCGCGCGCCCGCGGCGAGGGCGCCGAAGCGGCCGGGGGGGGCGUUGGCGACGACGGCGAAGUCGGUCCCGAAGCAGCGGAUGGAGGCGUCGGCGCGGAGGAUGCCGCAGAGGAAGUCCGUGCCGACGGCGACGUGGGUGAAGGAGAGGCGCGGGGGGACGCGGAGGUCCGGCCAGCGCCAGCAGGCGGGGGCGCCGAGGACGAUGCCGCAGACGUGGGAGUCGCCGGCGGAGAGGGCGCGGAGCGGGGGCCCGCGGUAGACGCGCUUCCCGGUUGUGCCGCGGUCCGGCCCGGAGAAGGACCACCAGCGCAUGGUGUCGACGGAGUCGGAGAGGGAGAUGGCGCAGAGGAAGCCGUCCCCGGCGGCGACGGCGGAGAAGGGGGAGGAGGAGGAGGAGGAGGUAGGUCUUGGUGGCGGCGGCGGGGAAGCUGGAGCAGGUCAGGGUCGGGAGGAGGAGGAGGGGGGGAGCUGGAGGAGGAGGAGGGCGCAGACGAGGGUGGUGUUGGGCCGGCGGGAGAUGGCGAGGGUGGAGAAGGGGGCGAGGAGGAGGCGGCAGCGGAAGGGAUGAAAGAGACGAGGAGGAAGAAGAACAACAAGCGUGAAUGGCGGUUACCAGUGUUUUUGAGAGGAGGAGGAGGCAUGGUGGGGGUGCAGAGUUGAUGGCCUGUGCAGCAGAGGAGGAGGAGGAGGAGGAGGAGAGGAGUAUUUCAUGGUAUAUAGAGAGAGAGAGACAGAGAGACUAAUUAACUACAUACUCACUACUACUGCUCGCUCUGCUGCUAACACUAACUACUACUACUACGGACGUGGUUUUUAUAUAAUAUUGAGGGAGAUCGAUGGAGAAUUAAGGUGGUGGGGGAACACGCGCGCCAAUGGAAAGACUAGCUCGAUUUGCCACUUUGAAAUAAUCCUUAAUUAGCAAAUAAGCCAGGUCUCGCUAGCUAGUUCUCUCUACAAACUCUCUUUAAUAACUUAAUUUCUGUGCACACUCAAACUCGUUCUCCAGCCCGAUUAAUUGAGAGUAAUAAUUCUGGAACUUCGCUGCUCCUCGCGAACAGCGCGUGUGGUGGACCAUGACAUUUAUAUUAAUUAAUCCUAAUCUAUAUAUAUAUAUAUAUAUAUGGCAGAAGAUAACUAGGUACUUUGCUCUCAAACUAGCGACAUAUAUGUGCUCUAAACUAGUUAAGACAAUUAUCUCACCAAUGCCAUGUAUGUUUAAUCUCAUCAUCUUUAAAACAAAAGGUAAAAAAAUCUAUGUACGUAUUACGGACAUUUCCAUAAGCUUCGUGUGAUGCAGCUUCCAAAUCGACGAUCGGCUCCGUUAGACUUGAUCUACACUAUUGAAAGUAUUUGAAAACUAAAUUUCAUAAAUUUUCGGCAUCAUUUACCUAUCAAACGAGUAGUCUAAAAAUGAACGGCUGAAAAUAAAAAUCUCUUAAAAAAUGAUGUUGAAAAAUUAUGAAAUUUAGUUUCCAAAUACUUUUAAUACGGAGGCGUUCAUGCUACCGAUAGUAUACCAGCUUAACUCUAUAUAUAUAUAUAUAUAUGUAUUUAUAUAUAUAGAGGAGAGAGAGAGAUGUCGAGAGAUGAGAGAGAGAGAGGAGAGAUAGAGGCUAGAGAGAGCGGAGAGAGAGAGAGAGUGGCUGGUAUGGAUUAUGGAAGACGGAGCCCUCGUGCUUCCAAGUGUUUUCGAUGUUUUUCGACUUUCGACAUACAACGAUCGGCUCUGUUUAGAGCUUGAUCUAGAGUUAUUUGAAAAUACCUAAAAUAAAAAUUUUGUGAUUUUUCGAUAUCAUUGUGCUAGUGAUCAAAGGGCUCAAAAUCAAUAAUUUAAGGCCGUGGUUGAGCGGUUGCAAGUUUAACGCGUGUAGAAAUAUCCAAAUCCAUGUAAUUUUUUCUGAUAGAAAAUUCUUAUUACCAGUUAUAAAACAAGAUUAUAACUUUGAUCUAAAAUUUUAUGGGUCAUAUCAUCAUUUUUGUAAAUGUUAUUUUCAAGCACGUUUUGAUUUUGAGCCCCUUUGAUCACUAGGCAAAUGAUAUCGAAAAAUCACAAAAUUUAUUUUCUAGAUACUUCAAAUACUCUAGAUCAAGUCUAACGGAGCCGAUCGUCAAUUCGAAAGUUCGAACAUCGAAAACAAAGUGGAAGCACGGAGCCCUCCGUGCUUCCAUAAGCAUCCUAGCCGCACUCUAUAUAUAUAUAUAUAAAAUAAUAAAUAUUUUAGUUUUUUUUAUCGAUGCAUACAAAUUUUUUUAAUUCUAUAAAAAAAAUUAUGUAUGGUGAGAAAAAAAUUUCUUAAAAUAUAUGAACUAUCAACAAAAAUUUUACUAACUUUUAUUCGUAUGAGAAAUAUAAAAUAUUAUAAAAAUAUUUUAUCCAAAUUAAUAUUUUAUAUAUAAUAAAUAUAUAUUAUUAUAUUAAUAAUAUUAUAUUUUAUUAGUGAUGUUCGUAUCGUAAUUUUUUGAAAACUGUCAAGUUGCCAUGCAUGUCCGAGUCGUGUCGUAUCUCGCAGCAUCCAUAAUACCUAGAUAAAAAUAAAAUGAAAAAAUAUAUAUUAGUAAAUUCUUGAGUCAUUAUAAAUGAGGUUGUAGAUAUUACAAUCUCUUUUUGGUUAUAAGCGUAUUCUCACAUUAUUUUAACGUAUGAACAAUCUUUUUUUUUUUGAGAGAGAUAUGUAGCACGCUACCCGUUUCGUUUAUUUUAUUUAGAAAUAAACUUAGCUGAAAAUGUGAAUCAAUUAGGAUUCGAACUUGGGUCUCGGGUACCAACCACCAAGCCCUUUGCCACUUGUUGUAGGGACGGUUGGUUAUUCAAUACAUCUUUUUUAUUUAAAUUCACGCAGUACUACUUUUGUAGUGUUUUGCUGGUCUAAACUAUCUGUAACGACCCAACCCGAAAAUUCAUAAGAUUUUGAGUUUAAAUUUUAAGUUUGAUAUUUAUAAAUGUAUUUAAACUUUAGAGUUUAAAUUUUGGUUUUGAAGAUAGAAUUUUAAUUCUAGCUGGUGAUGAAAGCUUUUCACCUUCUUCUCGGACAAUUUCUCUUCUCUCUCUCUCUCUCCACUAAAACCAAGCUGUCAAUGGAGGAGAAGUUUGAUUAUGAAAGCUACUCCCAUCAUCAGUGUUCAACUUGAAAUCAGCUUCGCCAUUUUGAUUUGACCUCAAAUUAGGGGUUAAGGUCUCUUCAUCUUUGAAGGAUCUUGGCUCUUGGUGGAGAGCAUAGAAAGAUACAAUUAAUUUAUUUAAAACAUACAUAAGCGUUCACGAGUUUCAAUUGUGACUCGGCCUAAUCAGCCUCCCGCCACUUCGAACACGACUCAACCUAAUCCGACCUCCCAUCAUUUCGAACGUAAUUCAGUCUGGCCAGAUCUUUUGUCAUAGGACAAAAUGAUGACCCCUGUAAGUCAACAUGUUCAAACUCUUUAUUUUCAAUGUUAGAUUUGAUACUUUUAUAAUGUUUAUUUAAUUUGUGUUUCUAUUUGAUUUCAAAUUUUAUUUCAUUUAGAAUUUGAUUUGAGAGAGUUUGGAUAAAACACUGGAAUCAUCAACUGAACUGUUGGCCCUGUCUGAACAGCAGAUCCACUGCCAAGUACAACAAGAGUCAACCACCCUUGAGAUGAGGGUUGACCGUUGGAGGCUACAGUAAACCCACCAAAAUUUAAAUUUUUGAAAUUUUGGAUUCUUUUAGGAUUGGUCUUAAUUGACUUUUAUGGUGCGAGUUUUAACUAGUAUUUUCACUUGGAUUACCACUUUAUUUUAUUCGAUUUUGGUUUGGUCAAGUUCGGACUCACGCAUGCAGUUCUAGUUAGUGUAGAGUCGACCGACCGACCGACAACAUGCCGUCGACCAAAAUGGAACACUGACAGAAUUCUAGCUUCGGAUUUUCUAAACUACCGUUUGGUUCGGAAUCAAGAAAAAACUAGUUAUUCCAGAAAUAGAGUUAAGUUCAGGAUAAAGGUGGGGUUAAAGUAUUUUUGUGUUUGGUUGAGAAUUGGAGUUAGUCCAGGAUUCAAAAAACAUAGUAUUUAGUUGAAGUAGGUGGGAUAAGAAGAAUAGUGGAUAAAAUAGUGUUUUGUUUGCUUGGAGUAGUGGGGUGGGAUGGGGUUAGCUAUGGUUAGCUAACCCCACCCCAAAUAGGCUAACUCGGGUUUGCUCAUUUGGAGUGUGGUUAGCUAAUCCCACCACCCUAAAAUUAUGUUUGAGAAUAAAAUCGGGGUUAGAGAGUUAUCCCAUCCCUUAACUCCGAACCAAACACAAGCUAAAGGUCGAUCGGCAGCAGCCAUGACCGGUCAAUCGACUAGUUUAUAGUCGAUCAUAUGAUAUGAGAAAAGAAUUUUGAUUGAAAAUAUAAGAGGCCUCACAUUUUAGUGAUGACUAAAUUUAAAUAUUUCGGACCAGUAAUUUAGACCUAACGAAUUAUUUUAGUUAGCAGGUCGAAUCACUACAGUUAGUAUUAGAGUCGAAUACCAACCGGAAGUGUGAGCCGAAUACAGUUAGGAUUUUGGUGUUUCAAUAAUUAUUUUGUUUCCUAUAUAAAAGUCUUGCAUAUAUAUAUAUAUAUAUAUAUAUAUAUAUAUAUAUAAACUUAAUAUAUAGUGCGUCUGGUAUAGCUUAUGGUAAGCAUAUGCGACGCUCCGUGCUUCCACUUGUUUCGUAUGUUCGGACUUUCGAAUCGACGAUCGGCUCCGUUAGACUUGUAUCUAAAUAUUUGAUAUCCUAGAAAAAUAAUUUGCGAAUUUUCGAUAUCAUUUGCCUAGUGACUAAGUGGCUCAAAAUUACACGGCUGAAAAUAAAAAUCUUACAAAAUAUGAUGAUAUGACAUUAAAAUUUAGAUCAAAGUCUAAUUAAUCUUGCUUAUUAUAUGGAUAAGAAUUUUUUAUCAAAAUUUUCAUGCGAUUGGGAUAUUCACACCGUAAAACUUGGCGACCUCCGGUCUACAGCCACGCGCCAUUAAAUUAUAUUUGAACCCCGUCAUUCACUAGGCAAAUGAUAUCGAAAAAUCGCAAAAUUUAUUUUCUAGGUACUUCAAAUACUCUAGAUCAACUCUAACGGAGCCGAUCGUCGAUUUGAAAGUCCGAACAUCGAAAACAAAGUGGAAGCACGGAGGGCUCCGUGCUUCCAUAAGCAUACCAACCUACUCUAUAUAUAUAUACUAGUCAUAUGCACGUGCAAUGCACCUGAGACUUAUUUGAAAAUAUCAAAUAAUUUUUUUCUAAAAUAUAUAUUCAUUUAAAGUUAUUAAUGAAAUUGAAGUAUAGACUAACUAUACUACUAUUCCCCAAUUAUUACUGUUCAAAUUAAUUGGACUUAAUUUGGACAAAGAUUUUAAUAUUUUUUACACCCUAAAAACAAUAUAUAUACACAAAUUGAUUUGAAGAAUAUCGUAAAAAUAGUAAUACAAUUUUAGAAGAAUUUUGAAUCCUAUCGCUCAUAUUUUGAAAAGUUUUUGCAUGUUUUAUACACUAUAUAUAUUUUAUAUUUGAUAAACGUAUAGGUAAAAAUAAAUAAAUAUAAAAAAAUAUGCUAAAAUAGUAUAAAUGCACAUUAAAAAAAUAAAAAUUUUCAGGUGAGAUCAAAAUACCUCUCUAACUAUGACAAAGGUGGCGAAAAUGACAAUGUGCUGGUGUUGACGAUAACAAUAUGCUACGAUGUACUGGUGCUAGCGAUGGGGAUAUAUGAAAAAUAUUUCAGAAAAAUAUAGGUGAAAAUAAAAAAGAUGUUACUAAAAAAAUAUGUCUUCUAAAAAAUAUAUUCUGUGUGUGAAUAAAUAUUAUGAUGAGAUAAAGAUUGGAUAGUGUAGAUAUUAUAUGCAAAGAUAUGUAGAUAUUAUAUGCAAGUGCAUUAAAACAUGUUCUAUAUUUGAGAAAUGCAUAAGAUAUUUUGGCGGGUAUUACUUUUGAAUAUUUUACUAAAAAAAAUUUAAAAAUAUAAAAUUAUAUUUAAUUAAUAAUUUAGUUUUGUUUAGGUGGGUAUUAAAUCUUUUUAGUAAUAUUUUACGUGAUUGGCCCAAGUAUUACGAAUGAGAAAGAAAAUAUUUGAAAAACACGUAAAUAAGAGAUAACGGAUAUUUUAAUUUAUGACGCGUUUGAGAAAACGUGUGUGAGAAACAAAAUAUUUAAGGUACCCCGUAGAUAUGAUAUAACGGAUAUUUUAAGUUAUAACGGGAAUUACGUUUGAGAAAAUGCGUAGAUAUUUGUAAAAUGCGUAGAUAGGAAAUAACGGAUAUUGAGGGUAUUUUUGUCAAGAAAAGUGACAGAUACUUUUAUUUUUAAUCGUUGGAUGAGAUCCAAUGGUAAAAAUUUAAGAUCUAUAUUUGAGAAUAAAUUAUUAUUUGAAAAAUUAUUUGAAACNAUAUCAAGUUAGUACCCUAUAAUUUUUUAAACCACAUGGUACUAAAGUGAGAAAGUGCGAAACUAUAUGGUACUAACUUGAUACACUAUAAACUACAGAAUACUAAAGUGAAAAAGUACAAAACCACUGGGUAUUAAUUUGAUACACUUUAAACCAUAUGGUACUAAAAUGAGAAAAAGUGAAAUCACAAUAGGGGUAUUUGAAGUUUUCCCUCGAUAUUAUAAUGCAGAGAGUUUUUAUAGUGUUAUGGCCAAAAUUUGGUUUGAACCGGCCGCAUUUUCAUAUAUAUAAAUUAAAUUAGAAACUUAUAUAUAUACAUAUAGAUCUAGAGAGAGAGAGAACGAGAGUGAGAGAGAGAACUAGGCUCCUAUAUAUACUUUCGAAAGUAUGGAGGCCUUCGUACUUGUAAGUUGUUUUCGAUGAUGAAGCAUUCGAUUUAACGAUCGGCUUCGUUAGACAUGAUUUAUAUAUAUUAUUGGAACUAUUUAGAAAUCAAAUUUCAUAAUUUUUUGACUUCAUUUGCCUAGUGAACGAGUAGGCUCAAAAUGAACAGUUGAAACUAAGAAUCUUACAAAAAAUAGUGUUGAAAGACGUAAGUUUAAAAUUGAAAGUAUUGUUCUUACUCUUGAUGUUAAAUAGAAUUUUCUAUUAUAGAAUGCGGCGGAAGUAUUAGUUCGUUCGUACCUUUUUCAGAAGUGAUUCGCGUUACAACUCGAUAAGCCCGGAUCGUCGAGGUUGAUUCACGUGUCCUUUGAUCGUCCUUGAUUAAAUCUUCUCACGUCCCAAACUCGCGAUGGAUCAAACUACAAACGAGCACGAUCACAAAUCCACCGUUCAAGUCCCUCUUAGAAUAAUAGGUUGAUGGAGGAUGUGGUUUCUCUCUUUCGUUUUCUUAUUCUUGCUUUUUUUUCCGUUCUCGUUCCAUUUGUUAUGUGGGAUCGCCCGCAUAUUUAUAAAGGAUUCCAAAAUCCUAAUAGCGUUAGAGAUAAGGUCAAAUCGGUUAUCAAUUGUUAUCCUAAUAUGACUAGGAUUUAUCUCUAAUUAGCUUUUCAAUUUGAAAGCGAAAUUAAUUCAAAUCCAAUUAGAUAACAUAAUAUCCGUCGGAUCGAACCCGCUUAUGGGCGUACCCGAUUCGAUUUAACCGAAUGCCAACAUCUAUUAAAGUUUCAUAUAACUUGAAUUCUUCUACACUUUUGAACUUUCAAACGUGCUACAUCGGCCGUUAAAUUUAGCCAUUUUUGAAACUCUUUGAUCACUUGGUAAAUGAUGCCAAAAUAUUAUGAAAUUUGGUUUUUAAAUAAUUCUAAUAGCGUAAAUCAUGCCUAACAGAGCCGAUCGCCGAAUCGGAUGCUCCAUCAUAAAAAACAACUUACAAAUACGGAAGUCUUCGUACUUUCGAAAAUAUAGGAGACGUACUCUCUCUCUCUCUCUCUCUCUCUCUCUCUCUCUCUCUCUAUAUAUAUAUAUAUAUAUAUAUAGAGAGAGAGAGAGAGAGAGAGAGAGAGAGAGAGAGAGAGUACGUCUCCUAUAUUUUCGAAAGUACGAAGACUUCCGUAUUUGUAAGUUGUUUUUUAUGAUGGAGCAUCCGAUUCGGCGAUCGGCUCUGUUAGGCAUGAUUUACGCUAUUAGAAUUAUUUAAAAACCAAAUUUCAUAAUAUUUUGGCAUCAUUUACCAAGUGAUCAAAGAGUUUCAAAAAUGGCUAAAUUUAACGGCCGAUGUAGCACGUUUGAAAGUUCAAAAGUGUAGAAGAAUUCAAGUUAUAUGAAACUUUAAUAGAUGUUGGCAUUCGGUUAAAUCGAAUCGGGUACGCCCAUAAGCGGGUUCGAUCCGACGGAUAUUAUGUUAUCUAAUUGGAUUUGAAUUAAUUUCGCUUUCAAAUUGAAAAGCUAAUUAGAGAUAAAUCCUAGUCAUAUUAGGAUAACAAUUGAUAACCGAUUUGACCUUAUCUCUAACGCUAUUAGGAUUUUGGAAUCCUUUAUAAAUAUGCGGGCGAUCCCACAUAACAAAUGGAACGAGAACGGAAAAAAAAGCAAGAAUAAGAAAACGAAAGAGAGAAACCACAUCCUCCAUCAACCUAUUAUUCUAAGAGGGACUUGAACGGUGGAUUUGUGAUCGUGCUCGUUUGUAGUUUGAUCCAUCGCGAGUUUGGGACGUGAGAAGAUUUAAUCAAGGACGAUCAAAGGACACGUGAAUCAACCUCGACGAUCCGGGCUUAUCGAGUUGUAACGCGAAUCACUUCUGAAAAAGGUACGAACGAACUAAUACUUCCGCCGCAUUCUAUAAUAGAAAAUUCUAUUUAACAUCAAGAGUAAGAACAAUACUUUCAAUUUUAAACUUACGUCUUUCAACACUAUUUUUUGUAAGAUUCUUAGUUUCAACUGUUCAUUUUGAGCCUACUCGUUCACUAGGCAAAUGAAGUCAAAAAAUUAUGAAAUUUGAUUUCUAAAUAGUUCCAAUAAUAUAUAUAAAUCAUGUCUAACGAAGCCGAUCGUUAAAUCGAAUGCUUCAUCAUCGAAAACAACUUACAAGUACGAAGGCCUCCAUACUUUCGAAAGUAUAUAUAGGAGCCUAGUUCUCUCUCUCACUCUCGUUCUCUCUCUCUCUAGAUCUAUAUGUAUAUAUAUAAGUUUCUAAUUUAAUUUAUAUAUAUGAAAAUGCGGCCGGUUCAAACCAAAUUUUGGCCAUAACACUAUAAAAACUCUCUGCAUUAUAAUAUCGAGGGAAAACUUCAAAUACCCCUAUUGUGAUUUCACUUUUUCUCAUUUUAGUACCAUAUGGUUUAAAGUGUAUCAAAUUAAUACCCAGUGGUUUUGUACUUUUUCACUUUAGUAUUCUGUAGUUUAUAGUGUAUCAAGUUAGUACCAUAUAGUUUCGCACUUUCUCACUUUAGUACCAUGUGGUUUAAAAAAUUAUAGGGUACUAACUUGAUAUAAAAAUAAAACCAUAGGAUACUAAUUUGAUAUAAAAAUAAAACCACAGAGUACUAACUUGAUACAAAAAUAAAACUACAGAGUACUAACUUGAUACACUUUAAACCACAGGGUACUAAAGUGAGAAAGUGCGAAACCACAUGGUACUAACUUGAUACACUUUAAACCAUAGGAUACUAAAAUGAAAAAGUACGAAAUCAUAUGGGGGAUUUUUGAAGUUUUCCCUAAUAUCAAUAUAUCCAUAAUUUAUAAGGGCGACAUUGUUGGGCACUUGUAAUUACACUCAAAGAAAGAUCCUUUUAGUCUCCAUUUUUUACUUAAAUGUUAAGAUUUUAAAAAGAUUGAAAAUUUUACAUAUGUCAUUCCCUUACAGAGAGAGAGAGAGAGAGAACAAAUUUAUGAGCGUUUCGAAGUAUUAUCAUGCAAUUAACCCAGCAGAUUUGUUAUUAAAAUUAUAUGAAUAUAAAAAUAUCACUUUUUAGCAGCUUUAAUUUUUAAAGAAUAAUAAUUAUUUCAGAUGAUUUAUCCGAGUACAAAGUUUUCUUUAAGCUUUCAGGAACAAGGACAUAUUUCAUAUAUAAUCACAAAUCAGAAAACAUUUCUCUUUGCAAAUCAAAUAAGGAAAAAUGUCUAGAGAAUAGUUUCAUAGCAUGCAAAUAAACAAAUUUCUCAAGCGGAAACAAUAUAUGCAAUCGCACACGACAAAAAAAUCAAAAUACUGGUUAAUCAAAGGGAAAUUUUCGAUUCCCAAAAUUUUAGCGCAUCUUACUUUGUCAUCAUGUCAUUUAAAAGAAUUUUACUUUAUUAUUCUAUAUAUCUUUUUCUUUAUAUCAAGUGAGGUACUACAGUACUACAAUUUGUAGACCGCAAAUUAAUGGAGUAAUAUAUUUUUCACACAUUAUCUUACUAAUCUAUAUUAUCAUUUUACCAUCCUAUAGUUUGUAAAAUAUAUUACUUAACUAUUUUUUUGGUUAUAAAUUUUAACCCUUUAGUAUCCGACCCGAUGACAGGUUAUUACAGUAAAAUAAGAAUAAAAUUACGGAAUAUCAAAGUAAAGUAUUUCAAACUCCGCGGUAGAGAACUGAAGAUGCGGUAAACCUCAAGGAUUUAUUUUUCAAUCAUUUCUCUGAGUCAUUUUUGGUCUUAAUCGUUUUUCAAAUCACUUCUACUGUAGAGGAAAUAAAAGGAGUAGAACAUUUCAACCCUUGGUGGUUAAUAAGGUGUGAUUAAUGUGAAAUGCAGUGUGUGUGUGCGUGCUUGAUGUGGUGGUAAUUACUUAGUCAAAAAAAAAAAAAAAGUGUUAGGUGAGCACACUAUGUCCAAGGUAGAGUUAGAUGGAGACAACAAAUAAUUAAGAAAUAAGAGAACAUGUUAAUUUCUAUAGUUGGUUUUGUGCAUGUAAUUAAGAAGCGACGUAUAAUUUGGCCAACACUUUAAUACCACAUUUUAUUUUUUGCAUUAACAAUAGCAUGAAUAAUAGAGCAGAACUUUUAAAUUCUAAAAUAGACUUUUUGCGAGGUUUUAAGUUCAGAAAAAAGGAGGCGUGAUAUAUACUGGAAAUCAGAAUUUAUUCCUCUGGAUGUAUUUUUGUAACAUUCGAAAAAAAUUGUAUGUUAAAAUCGUAAUUUCUGGGUAACUAUUUCUCAUGGAUCAAACAAAAUUCUUUUUGAGGAUUACUUGUUGCGAAGGUUAUUUCCAAGCAUAUGGUUUUUCACACAUAGAUUCUUAAAUGUUCUAGAACAUCUAAUCUCUUCAGUUUUAGAAUAUAAGAUACAUAUAAUCAUUGGUGUAAAUCUUACGCCUCUGCCCUCUUAGAGUUCAUAAAAAUUCAAAUGAAUUUUCAAUAAAUAAAAUAAUAAUAAUAUUAGUGGGAAAGAAGAUAAGGAUAAAACUUCAGUGACAAGCUCCCCAACGAUGCCUUGUUGGGCUCGAUCCUCUAUCAUGUAUUAAUUUUGCUUUCAUCCAAGAGUCUGUGGGUGUUCUUUAGCACUACUCAAAAAAAAAAAAUUUAAAUUCUAAAGAAACGUAUUAUAACCUUUAGAUAGAGAUAAAACUGACACAUAAAACGAGACAUUGUUGGAAAGCUCCCUACAAAAGUUUUUUUUUUCAAAAAUAAAAGCUCUUGAUUGAGUGGGGUGUAAAAUCUACACCUACUCUAAAGAGUGUACAGACAGUAUUGCUAAUUUAUAGCUAGGGGGAGACGAGUAAUACGGUGCACCUACACCUGGUGCAGGCAACAAUUUGUCCAGGUCAUGUUGGCCAAAACAUAAAAAAAGAAAAAAGAAAAAAAAAAGCUUUCUUGUGAUGGUUCACCAUUGCUUCUCACUAAAGAAAAUUCUACUUUGAACCUAAUUAUAAUGGAUGAGCUACACAGCAAGUAGUUACUGAGGAAUUUGCUUAUCAAUCAAAUCAUCAUAAUUAAAAUAACAAUCAAAGGCCUUGUCCGGUGGUUGUUAUCUGAAUUGCUGUUCUAGAGAUUGAAAUUCAAUCUUCUUUUGUGAUUACACCAGAAAACGAAAACAAAACCAAAAAAGGAAAACCGCAACACCGACUGGUGGUUGUUAUUUGAAUUGCUGUUCUAGAGAUUGAAAUUCAAUCUUCUUCUGUGAUUACACCAGAAAACGAAAACAAAACCAAAAAAGAAAAACCGCACCACCGACUUCGUAGAUAUUAGAAUAAUACAUGAACUAAGGAUAGUCCAGGAUAGCCAAAAAAUCAUAAAGAAAAUAAUAAAAGGAAAAAGUGCAGAAAUCCCUUCAAGUUAUUUAGCUCUUUUACAAACUUUCGAGCUUUUAUUUCCGAAAUUAGAUCGAUCUCUCUCUCUCUAGUUUAAAUUAUUAAUUACACAACCAGAUUUGAUCGCAUGACUCGUAUAAUCUCACAAAGCUUUAAAACACAAGAUAACCAAUGGCACCACCAAAAGAAUCCCAAAACACAAAUUCAAUGAGGUAAGGAAUAUCUACAAAAUGUCCAAAAAGGAACAAAAAUCAAAAUAGAACUUGUAUGAUACAGGAUUCUCUAUUGUUUCAUUAGUGUUGCUACAGCAGCAUGGAUGGGGCUUUCUCGAACCGCAACGGGGCGCCGGGCUAACGAGUGCGGUCCUCUCCACAGGGAAUUAGGGUUGCUCGGGAAAAGGCUCGCGCAUAACUUCAAUACCAUGUGAUUUUCCUGCUGCGCGAUAUUUUCUUCGGUUUUCACCUGCUCAGCCCUUUCAGCAGCUUCCUGCAGACAAUAACGCACCACAUGGUAAGUACAUAAUCUCUCUCUAGGGCAGCAUAUAUAUUGAAAAGGGCCAUUUUGCAAGACGAAUCCAUCUAUUUUUUUUUCGAUUCGCGAUUUUGAUCCACUUUUUUUGGUUCUUCGAAAAUGUUCGUAAUGGGAAUCAAUGAUGUAUCUAUUCAUUACAAUGAGCGUCGGGGGAAUCCAAAUCCGUCAAAGUCCGACUACCAUCCGAAAUUGCAAAUAAAAACAAGGGGAUCCAAAUACAUAAAGACCAAAAAAAAUGGUGGUAAAAAUAGUCCCAUCCCUAGAGAAUUAUACAUAUAACCAAAAUAAAAUGAUAUCAAAAAAAAUAUGUAGAGACAAUCAAGUGUGGCCAUGUUUGUUACCUCGUGCGGGUGAUCAGAGACUAAAUCCUCCUUUUGCUGAGUGGAUGUAAUAUUCUCCAGCUCAUUUUGAUCUUUGUAUUCGUCUUCAUCAUCGGAAGGUUGGUUUGAAUCAUCAGUUCCAUCCUCAUCGCGUGGCAAUUCCGACGGUUGAUUAUUUACACAAAUUUCCAGAUGAUCAACUUCCAUCUGAUUUUCGGUGACCUCGGGCUGAUCUGUUCGGGAAACAUGGAUCUGCUCGAAAUUUUCCAUUUUUUCCUCAUUUUCAGCAUCCUCCGUCUCGCCAUUGGCAUUGGGCUCUGGUGAAUGGUCCGAGCUCGAGGUUCCAUCAUCGCUACCAGGGUUAUCGGCGGGAGAGCUUUCCUGAAAUCACGUCAAAAAAAAAAUGAUAAAAAUAAGUUGCAAUCUACAGGGCAGUAGCUAAACAAAUAUUUAAGAAAGUAAAAGAAACGGAAAAGAAAAAGAAAAAAAAAUGGAACCAACCUCUAGUUUAAACUGCUGCGAAAGAUUACCAACAGUUAUAGCCAUCUCAUUCUCAACCACUGCAGAGUUCUCUUCACGUUCCUUCCUGCGACGCCUUACAACACAAACAGCGCACAAGCAGUCGCCUUUAUGGAGAUCAAUCCUGCGCCAACAUAUGUUAUAUCAAAAUUCUAAUGAAAAAUGGUAAUACAUUUUGUUUUAUAAUAAAAUGUAGGAUAGUAUACUUGCAGAGUCUCAAAAUUGUAACUCAGUCGAUUAGUCCCUGAAAUUUCUACAUAAACACUUCAGAACCUUCAGUCAAAAAACUAAAGUUCACCUAGGAUUCUUUUAAUUCAAAAAGUUUUGGUUAAGGCAUUCAGAUUAUCUGAGAAGUUGCUUCAGUUAAACAGAUUUAGCACAUCAAAUUAACCUUCAAAGGUCCCAGAUUUGCUAUACACUGUACUAAGAAAACCAUACAUUUGUUAUAGAGUGUACCGUACUACCAUGCAAGUUGAAAAGACCAACAACAACAAGAACAACAAAAUCUUUUCUUAUUACUGUCAUCUUCUUAAUCAAUUCCAUUUUCUAUGUUUUGAACUCUUCUUUUCUUAUAUCUUACCUUAUCAAUUUUCCUUGUUCACUUCAUUACGAUGCCGAAAGGGACAAAAAUGUAUGCAGUAUCAAUAAAGCCAGUAAUCACUUAGCAGCUUCUCAAUUCUUUGGGUGUCUUUAGAAAUAUAAAAGAAUACAUAUUCAAUCUCAAAUAGGGGGAAAAAGAACACAAAGUAGAAAAUUUAGUUACCCAUACCGUCGACGUUUGCGCUUUGACUUGCCUUUCUGAUGCACCUUUUCCUGACCAGAUCGAGAAAUUUCCUGAACCUCACUGUUCUCAGCAGCACCUACAAAAAGGAAUGAAGUGUUUUCCAUUUGCACCUUUGGGGUAAGAUUCAAACCAAUAUGAAAUAAAAUAAAACUAAAGAAGAGCAAAAAUGAAGGCAUGAUAAAUAGAUCAUUGCAAAAGGGCCUUGAACUUCGGAGUGCACCAAUAACUGACUGGAAUGGUACGAAUAACAUAUCAUAUGGGAAACUGGCGGAUAAAUUUGAAAUUUGAACGCUAUCGAAACUAAAUUUAUAUUGAGAAAUUUUUGUGAAUCAUCCCACAAUUGGAUAAAAUCAUAUCACGUGCACAAAAGAUGAUCCUUUGUCAUGUUGCCAACUUUGUUGGUAAAAUGCAGUAGAUGAUCCACACAAAUCAUAUUUCUCUCUCCUCAUCUACCUAUCUUUUCUCCACUCUAAAUUUCAAAAUACUUAUUGUGCCUUAUAUCCCAAUCAAAAUUCUGUGAUGUUUUGGCAGUAAAAAAAUAUGAGAUGAAACAUGUACAACAUAACACGAACAAACAACGAUCUACAAAAAGUGAGACAAAUCCCAUUUACUUUAUUGCUUCAAGUUCUCGACUAAAUUUCAUGUAGUUUCAAAAACAAAAAAAAAAGAGACUAAAAUCACACCUAGAGAAAGAAAAAGCCAUGAAACUUGAUCUUACAAUCUAUACAAGGAAUCGAAAAAGACAAUCUAAAAUUCAAUUAAUAACAUUGAGUUAUAGAAUAAGCACGUAACAGUAUAAGUACCUACAUAACAUUACAGUCAGCAAUUGCCUAAUACUUACUAUUAUCUGGCACUUCGGAAUACAAGCCUGCUGCUGACCAAUACUUCAUGAAAUUCUUCUUCACUCGUUUCAUGAGAUCCACAAUAUAAUCACCUUUAUUAUUAUACUUGUAACAGUUCUCCCAUAUAAACUGCACAUCCUUGUAAACAUCUUCUGAGUUCAUAUAUUUGCGACCGUUUUCUAAAUCAUUACAUAUGGUUCCAAAAUCCAUAGGAGUGUCAAUAAUGUCAAAAUAAUCCUGGAAAAGAGAAGUCAGAUAUUGGUCAAAGUACAGCAUAUAACUUUAUAUUGAACUUAAUUUAUUCUGUAAAGAUCAACCACGAAUGAGAACCAUGCAGUGGAAAUCUAAUAUAACAAAUAAAAAGUUACAUGCACAACCAACUGAAUAGAAAGGCUACAAACCCUUUUCGACAAGAACAUAUAUUAGUGAUAGAAAACAAAUAGCGAACACCAAAUUUACGUAUCUAUCCAUAAAUCAGACCCGUCUUUAAUACUCCAACAUUAGGUGAAGUAGUGAAAAAUUCAGUAAUAUAGAAUUUUAAUUUAGCAGAGCAAACAGUCAUAUGAAUGUUUAUUCAUCAUUAGCUUUCCAAACCGUAUUCUGUACACCUAUGUCAUGCAGAAAAAAACCAAAAAAACAAAAAGACAAAAAACAAAAUUUACAGCAUUGUUCAGAAGUUUAAGGUGGUCAAGUCAACUCAAACUUGCAAGAUAUACAACCAUAACAGAGAAUUUAGCCAUACCAAACUAGAUGAUUUAUAUAAGGGUCUAUUUUUACAAUUUGAAAUUUAACUUUAAAAGUCAAAUUUUAUUUUCAAAGUGAGCCUGAGGCUACAUAUACUUAGAAGCUAACUGUGCAAGAUACAGUUAGCUUUUAUUAUCUGCCUGCUAAUUUACCCCAACCAUGCUAAAGAAAAAGCAGAAUAAUACACAAUAUGUUCUACAUAAAUAUCAGCAGGACACUAUACUUACAGGGAUUCCUAGAGCAACAGGAUUAACGGGAGCAUUGAAGGGCCCAGCUGCAUCCAUCUUCAUAACUUUCUUAAUCACCUGAAAUACAACAUCAUCAUCCACAUGAAUUCUCAUUUCAGUGAUCAGCAUAUUCAGAAUGAUGAAGCCCAACUUGAAAAUUAUCACCCAAUCCUGGUCCACCACAUCAAGCUACAGACCACCCAGUGAUUUUACUUGGAAACCCCACCAUCUAGUAAGUUUCAGCUUCUUUUUUGGGGGGGCUCUUUUUUAUUUUAAAGUGGUGAAGAUUGUAUGUGGGGGGGAAAAAUGAGAUCAGAUCCCAAUGCAGUCCACAACAUGGCGGACAAGUUCCAGGCAAUAAUGAAUAAUCUCUUCAACUCUUACCGCUAGUGCUUCAGACAACUCCUUUUCAUUAUAGCGAGGAUCCUUCUCUCUUUGUAGUUUAUUCGUCGGCACCGAUACAUCUGCUUUUUUUUCAGUUGAAGAGACUAAAACCCUAGAUGUCUUGAUCUUAAUACUUCCCGUUUUUCUUGGCAGCGAUGUUUGCCCAUCUGAGUAUGCAGUGUCUUUCUCUACAGCUGCAUCAUUCGUCUCAACUGGAACUUGCAGAUUAGAUCUAUCGGUGUCACUGUGUGUUUGUGCAUCUGAAGAACUUCGGUGAGGCUCUAAAACUCUCGAAGAUUUUAGCUUCACCUUAAAACGGCCAUUUCCUGGUUUCCCUGUUGAUCCAUCAUUUGAUGCAUCGACACCAGUAGUUGACACGGUGCUGAGCUUCUCUAAUAAAGUAGCAGAUUCAGGAACUGCUUCUGAAUUAUGUUGAUCACGAUCGCUCUGACCCAAUUGACUACUCUCUUCUGUGUUCAGAGAGACCGGAGACUUAGUCAGAUCUUUUACCACCAGUUUUUUAGCCCCUUUCUUGUGACCUGUUCUCUUUCCACGCUUGCGUUUCAUGAUCUUCUUUAUUAGUCAAUCGAGCACCGUCAAAAUGUAAAUGAGCUCUGUUCCUCUGCCAAAUGCCACUAAAAGACGUUCUUGUCCCUGAAACAUGAAGAUUAGUUAUUACUAAUAGUUCUAAUAACCUACUAGAAAAGGACAAAUAGCGGUAUCAUCAUAGCUAAACUUUUAAUCAGCAAAAAGCAAGAGUCAGGUAAAGAAGAUUCUAAAACACAAUUAAUUUCACGAAAAUUUUAAUAAGCAACUCACUAGCAAUUAACAAAAGCAAAUUAGAUGAGUAAAUGAUUUACUCAAGAGUGUCAAAGUCAACCAGAGAACAUAUUAAUCUAUUCGAAUUAAAACAGUAAAUAAAACAAUUAAACCCCCCGAGCACACUAAUAUAAUUCCAGUUGUUCAAUGUUCUGAAAUUGGAAGAUUAACGGAAAUACAACAACAAAAAGAUGCAUAAGUGCUUGAUCAGAGCAUCACACUACUUCAUCUUUAUUUUUUCAACAAAAAAAAAGAAAUUUUUGCUACUUUUAAUUAGCAAAAAAGUUUUUGUCACAGCUACCAAAUCAGAUACUCCUCUCCUAUGCCCAGGAAACACUAUUCGCCAACUUCAAAGUUCUUAAAAGUAAAAAAACAAAUCUUUCUCACUUGCAUUCCAAAUUUCGGAACAAUCACGCGCCGAAUUCAUCGCUAACUUUCGUGGAACAUCAGAACCCUUAGUUUUGCAGGCCAUGUGUACACUAAUUAUUCUAAGUCCAUAAUUUUGUACUUAAUGACGUAUUCCCAACGCCUUUCUUAGGUUUUUUUUUUCUUUAGUAUCAAGACUUGAAUGAUACGACAGUAAACUAAAUAUAAAAAUAAAAUAAAAAAUCGGGUAAAAAAAAAAACGCACUAUUCGUCAGUGCAGUAGAAGAAUAGGAAACCCUAAGCGGAAUUAAUACGCAGAAACCUAAAAACAAGAGCAAACAUAUCCCUAAGCGAGAGAGACAUCGAAGAAACGAUUCAUGUAUCAUUAACGAAGCGAAGUUAGCGACAGAGAAGCAAAUCGAAGCUCAGUUUCUCCAAUCGAUGAGGGUUUCUACGGCGGAGAUUAGGGUUUCCAACAGGGGUUUUGGGCAGGAGAAGAAGAAGAAGAAGAAGAAGAAGAAGAAGAUACCUCGGGAAAGCUCGUCGGGGAGGUGAGGAGACGACGGCGGAGAGAGGCGGCNCGGAGAUCGGCGGCGGCGGCGGCGGCGCCGCGGUGGCGACGGGGGCGGAGGAGGAUGUUGGGGGGAGACGAGUUGGGCUCGCGUCUUUUCGGGUUUGGGCUCGGGUUCGAGUUAGUUCUAGAACCCAAAAAAAAAAAGGUUAGGGGCCUUAGGGCCACCGUCACGUGCCGGGACUUGUGUAGCACGUGAGUAAAGGGUCCGAGAUAUUACUACGUGAACCUGGUCCACCAUGUCAUCUGUGGACCGAAUCCUCUCUUUCAAAUCACCACCGCCCAUCUGUUGACCGAAUCCUCUCUUUCAAAUCACCACCGCCCACUAUUGGUGCUGGUAAAAUUAAUUUUUUGAAUUCCGUUGUUUGUUUUGAUGUAAGUAAGUGGUAUAAGUUGUUUAAGGCUUCGUUCGAUUCGGGGUUAAAUAAAGAACUAGUUAUUUAAGAGAUAGGUAUAAGUUCAAGGUUAAGUGUGAAAUAAACUAAUUUUGUGAUGAAAACUGGAUUAUUCCUAGAAAUAAGAAAAAUAGCGUUAAAAAGAAUAGUGUGUAGUUAUAAACAGAAAAUAACUUUAUAUUUGAAUUUAAAUAUUUAAAUUUUAUAAUUUAAAUUUUAAAUUUAAAUAUAUAUAUAACUUUAAAAAUUAAAAAUUCAAAAUAAAAUUUGUUUUUAAAAUCUCAAAUUCAAAAAUUUAAAAUUCUAAAUUUUAAAUUUUAAAUUAAAAAUAUUAAAUAUUAAAUUUAAAAUUUAAAAAAUUUAAAAUAAUAUUUUAAAAUUUAAAAUUAUAUGUCUCAAUUUUAAGCUUACAAAUUUUUAAAUUCAAAAAAUUUAAAAUAUAAAUAUAAAAUUUAAAAUUUAAAAUUUAAAUUAAAAAAUAGAAUUGGGUGGGAUUAAAGUUAAUCCCACCCCAAUUCCAUAGAGGGGGUGGGGUUGGUUAAACCCCACCCCAAAAGGGUUAUUCCAGAGUAACUCUUUUGGGGUAGGGUUAACAAACCCCACUCGCCAAAAAUAUUGUUUGGAGUUAAAGGGGAGGGAUAACACUCUUAUCCCUCCUUUAAUUCCAAACCAAACAGAGGUUAAGGGUGUUUGAUUCCGCUACAUGAUCUAAAAAUAUUUUUACAAAUUUAAAAAAAUUUUAAAUUUUUAUUUUUUAUUAUUUUUUGGCGAAAAAAAAAACUAAAUAUACAAAAAAAAAAUUAUUUAUUUUUUCCACCAAACCAGACAAAUGUAUUUUUUUUUUCCUUUCAACCAAAUAAAUAUUAAUAAAAAUUUAAUUUUUUCUACAAAUCAAACACUAUAAACGUAUAAUUUCUUUCCACCAAAAAUUUUUUUCACGAAAAAUUAUUUUUUUUUUAUUUUACGUUGAACCAAACAGACCCUUAACCCUUUCUCAUUUCUAAGAAUCCAUUAAUUUCCUUCACAAGUGGUGGAGAUUCAAAGGGGAGAAACAAUGGACGGUAACGGAUCAUUUGGUUCACGAAUGAUAUGGUGGACCAAGUGUAGGCAAUAUUUACGAGAAUAGUGGUAUAAAUAGGCCGGUGGGCCCGCUCGAGCCCCUUUUUGAACAAGAACUGGGCCUAUGCAUGGCCCGGCCCAAGUAAAAACAAUUUAAAAAUUUUGAUAUGGGCUCCACCCAAUUAGUUCCAGGUUGCUCCGGUCAAUGCGGGUUUCGGGUCCUCGAGUUUGUUAAGUCAAUUCGGGUCGGAUCGGAUUCUGGAAUCAGAAGACACAUAUGAAUGACAUAAAUUUGAACUGCACCUUUUAUUGCCAAAUGAUUUACUCAUCAAAAUACUUAUCAAUCAUCAAUUACACAGCCUUUGUAUACAAAUCCGAAUACUAAAAGCACAUCCAUCGUCGAGUAUCUCAUACAAGACCUAAAAAUUAUUACAAAAAUACAACACAAUUCAGUAGUUCUCGGUGUAAUAGCUCAGUACCGAUCAAUCGGAGGAAGUCGAGAACCGAUAGGAGGCAUAUGAGAUGGUGCAGUUUGUCCAGCUGUGGUGAAUAAGCUCGGCCUUGGCUUUCACGCCCGCGGCGCCGAGAGCUACGUGAAGAGGGAAUAAGUGGUCCGGCCACGGGUGCGCCAUUUUACCGUACGGCGCCCUCUCCUCGAAGUUGUUUAUAUCGUCGUGUCUACGAAACAGCAAAGAAAAAGAUCACCAGUGAUGUGAAUUAAAUAGAACAAAAUAUUAGACCUCACUGAGAACAAAGCGGAUUUUAUGCAGACGAAGUUACAGAACAGAAUUUGAGAGUUUCGCAAGAAUCAGAAGUGACAAUUUCCGACACGACACGACAUGAUAAAGCAGCUGAAUAGAUCACAAUUAAAAAUUGCUGCGAGAAACUCGAGACUACGAGCCCGAAAAUACAACAAAGAAAUAAGUUUAAGCUUUUAAACAUUUAAGGUAAGUUAUGAACACAAUCUUAAAACUAGUACGAGAAUCGCCACCUCUGGACGUAAUAGUGAUUUGAUAAUUAUCCUAGAAUAAUCCGGUUUGAUCAGAAUAACUUCCUCGGACCCUUUCUCUUUUCUUUUUUUUUAAUGUGUUUAGCAUGAAAGGAGGGUAUUAACCUGUUCAUACCUUCCGUUAAUGAGAGAUUCUUUAAGCCAUGUGUCGAAACCCUCGGCCCACUUGGCGAUCGGACCGCCGUCCGGCCCAAUGCUCCUCAAAUUAUGUGUAGCGUUCCCGGACCCGAGAACAAGAACCCCUUCAUCUCUCAAGGGAGCCAAUGCUUUCCCCAUGUUAUAGUGAUACGCAGCACCCUUUCUGCUUUGAAUAGAGAGUUGGCAUACCGGGAUGUUCGCCUCAGGGUACAUGAGCAUGAGAGGGACCCACGCGCCGUGGUCGAGCCCGCGACUAGCGUCCUCCCUCACACGGCCAAACCCGGCUCCUUCCAGAAGCUCUUUCACCCUCUUUGCUAAGUUCGGCGCACUGGGUGCAGGAUACUUCAGCUGCACGAGGAAAAGUGAUUCAGUUAGCUCAAUGUAGAAGAUUGUUACCCUUUUGCUCUUUCCGAGCAAGAACGGUGAUAAGAAUCUUCUCUCGGAGGUUUCAUUAAAGAUUAAUUAAUGACUCAACAAACAAUAUGGAUAUAACUAAUUCAACCAACUAAUAGCACAUCCACCGAUCUUAUCCAAUUAAAUAUAAUAGUACAAAGUUAAUAUCGGCUUCGAAAUAGAUACUAUGAAGGGGGGAAUAAAAAUAAACAUUAUAAAAUGAGCUCAUGAUUUAUGUUUAGUCUGUUUUAUGCAAUACCUCCUCUCUUUUUUUCUGACACAAUGCUGAAAACUAGCGAAAUUCCCGUCAGUGCGACUGCAAAUUAGAUGAACUAUCAGCUAACUUUUUUUUUUUUUAUCUCAUCUUGUUCAAGCAAUGCAGGAAUUGUUUAACAUGACUAGUUAAUUGAAGAUAAAUCAUAACAUAAGAAAGGGUUAGGAGACGAGUCGUAUUCAGAAGAGAGAUAGAGACUUCUCUUGGCACCGAAGCAAAAGCAACUCGUCGCUCAAAUUUUGGUGAUGUUCUUCGUUUACGCGAGAAGUUAUUCCUCGAAGUUGCAGAUUACCAACAGGCUCAAUAAUCCGAUUUUGACGGAUUCAACUAGGAACAUAAAUAGAAAUUAGAGUGUCGGCUUCGAAGGAUCGACAAAAUUUGCAUGAAUUGUAAUACACCACCUGAACAUUAAAAAGUUGAAAUUUACCAUCUUAAUUAUACUUCUAUUUCAAUCCUACAUAUAUAACUGGAAAGAUGCAGUUAGGUCCAUGACAAUCUAACUAAAUGAUUAUACACAGAUGAUAAAUUGUAAUUAAUUAAUCCUAGAUGGUGAAUUAGGAUUCGGCAAAAUUGACACUAACAUCAACAAUCCUAUAUCCCAAAAGAUCCAAUUUUUAAGGAUUCAGAAGCAAGAUAAGAGAAAUCGAUGAAAUGGAUUCGUUAGAACCCUAACUAAAAUUCCAAUGAUUCUAGGGCAUAUUUCCCCAAUAAAAAGAACAAUUUUUUUGCACUCAAAUAGAGAACAUUCAUUCACGCCAACGUCCCAAACGAUCCAAUUUUGUUAAAUUCAGAGGCAAUUGAAGAGGAAACAACAAAAUGGGUUCAUUCAAACCCCUGAAAAAAGCAUCACCCGCCUGGUACACAGCCGUGCGAAUCGGGAAAAGUUGAAUUACAAAUUGAACUAAAAUUCAUGUGUUUCUAGGGCACAUUUUCCCCCAGAAAACAAAUUUGAAAACAUCAUCACGCUCCGACAUCCCAAAAACGCCCAAUUUUGAUGGAUUCAGAAGCAAUCGAAGAGAAAGCAACGAAGCUGAUUCAUGUAGAACGAUCACCUGGUACAUGGGCGUGGGGAAACCGUAGAAGUCGUGGAUGGUGUCGUGGGGGGCUGCGCCAUCAACGGCGCCAUUAACGGCGGGGUCGCGCGUGUCCCAAUGGGCGGAGACGACGAGGAUCGCCCUGGGCGCGGCCUCCAAAACCCUAGAUCGCCAUGAGCGGAGGAAGCCCCGCGCGGGGAUGCUCUCGUCCACCGCGAGCGUCGGCGAACCGUGGGAGACGAAGAACGUAUCCAUCGUACGCAAUUUCAAAUUCAAAAUUUUAUAUUUUAUAUUUCAAAUUCAAAUUUUUGAUUUUUUUUUUUUUCUUUGAAUGGGGUUUUGUGGGGAAUUUUGGGUGGUUUAUAUAUAGAUCGAAGGAGAGAGGGGUGGUUGAGAAAGUGAAACUAGUUUCCUGCACCGGGUGUACAAGAACGUCUCAUACACCGAAUUAUUAUUAUUAUUAUUAAAAAUUAUUAUUUUGGGAGAGGUUGGUAUCAUCGGUGACGUCACUGGGAAAGAGGAGAAAUAUUUUUCAUAAAAGUAAAUGUAUAUGUAAAAUAUAUGUUUUUCUAAAAAAAAAUUGUUUAAAUUAAUAUGUAUACGAUUUCUCCAUAAUAUUAGCCAGCAAUUUAUUGUAAAUUAGUGAUUUGAAUGAUUAAUUGCAAGUAGAUAACUCUAAUUCGUUGAACAGAUUAUUUUGAAGGGUUCUUUGAAUCAUUCAGCCUAAUUAUUUUUUGGAAAUAAUUUUCAAGAUUAGUCAAUUCUCUGAAUUGUGACACCCCAAUAGUCUCACAUCAUAUAAUUAUGUCUGGAAGUAUAUAAGUUUGAUUGGGUUAGACAUAAAAACUGAACUUAAGCAUUUUGGACUAGUGGUUUGGACCCAACGAGUUAUUAUUACUAGUGGACUGGGGUCUUAAUAAGGCUAGCGAGACAAGUCUCACAUCACCUCGUGAUUUUGAGCUGUGUUAGUCUCAUGUGGGAGUAUAAAGCUUGAUUGGGCUAGACAUAAUAACUGGACUUAAGUAUUUUGGGCUAGUGGUUUGGACCCAACAAGUUAUUAUUGCUAGUGGGCGGAUCGUUACAUGAAUCUUGAUUAUUACUAAACAUUAAUGGAAUGGUGAUGCUUCAACUGUCAAAGAAUCAAUUAUCCGAUUCAGUUCUCUGAACCUUGAUUAUAACUGGACAUUAAUGGAAAGUUGGUGCUUCAACUUUGAAAGAAUCAAGUAUCUCAAUUAAUGGCUUUAUAUAAGAGUAUAAGAAAAAGAUUUGACUUGUUAUAAAAAAGACUACCAAAUAAUAGAGUACAAAAAAUGUAAAAGGUAAACUUCAGUUUGCCCACGUAUAGUUUAGCUUAUUUUUAUUUUUUUCGUCAUGUGAUUCAGAAAGUUGCUUAUGGUUCAUAAUUUAGAGGAUUACCGAAAUAUUACAUAUCAAGAUUUACAAUAUUCAGUAAAUACUGUAUAUUUUAUUUUUGAAAUAAUAAGUUUGUUAUUAAAUUAUCAAAGUCAUUUACAUUUAGACGUUGUUAAAAACUGGUAUCUUUUUAUUAAUGAACUACAUACUAAUGAUUUUAAUCAAAUACGAAAACGAGAAUAUCUUCUAACUCAUAAUAAUCUUAUUGUAAUAAUUUUACUAUUCCACCAACAACUUUUAUAACUAUCCAACCUGAAUUGAAUAAUAAUAAUUUAAAUAUUUUUAAUAAAAAAUAUAGAAAAUUAUCAAAAUAUUACAAAGUGACAAGCAAAUGGAGCCAUAACAAUCAGCAAGUGAUAUUCAAAGAUAGCACACACUGUACACUGUGUGAUGCCAGGAUGUCAUCUCUAUGCAAGCACAAAGAGCAUCUUGAAGUCCAACAGAAGCUUCUGGUAUCUGCAUGACUGCAUACAAUGUAGAAGUUGAAUAGAAGUCUAUAAAAUCUAAAUGCUGUGAAGGUUGAGACAGGAUCUUGUCUAGGGUAGUUGGGUACAAAUGAUAGAUUGAGUAGAUAAUUUAUUUACACAUUAAUACGCAUGGAAUGUAUUUCUUUUUUUUCUUUUUUUUUUUUGAGAGAAAGGUAGCAUGUUACCCGUUUCGUUUAUUUCAUUUAGAAAUAAACUUAGCUGAAAAUGUGAAUUAACUAAGAUUCGAACUUAGGUCUCGGGUACCGACCACCAAACCCUUUUGCCACUUGCGCUAAGGACGGUCGGUGCAUGAAAUGUAUUGCAUCUCCAAAUUAGAUUGGAUAGAAUAAAAUAAAAACGUAAUACUGAGAAGAAAAAAAAAAAAAAAAAAAAAGACAACAUAUUUUUUGAAAGAAAUUUAAGUCUUUUUAGCUAUUGUGAAAUGGCCCCCCCUCUUUUUGGCUAUUGGCGCUAUCUUUAUUUUUAUUUCUUAGAAUCGAAUGUUUAGUAAUUAAAUUAAAAUUUUCGUCCAAUUUAUUGAUGAUUCCAUCAAAUUGUAAUAUUUUUAACUUUUCUAUAGCAAAGAAAAACAGGGGAAAAAAGUGUCAAUCACAAAAGUGGAAGGUGAGGAAAUUCUAUUCAAAUCCUACUUAUGAACUAUUGGAAAAUAUAACAUCCCACUUAGUUGAAACAAAUUGUUGAUAAAGUCCCUUCAUUGUUGUGAUUUCAUAGAGAAUUAUGCAGAAACAGAAAAAGAAAAAGAAAACCCUUCGGGAAGCAAAAUCUGAAAAAGCUACAAGAAUCAAAAGAUGAAGAAGAAAAAGAUUGAGAAAAGCCUCUGCUUUUUUGGAUACUUGAAAAUAAGAAGAUGUCGAGUAAGGAUAAAGUAAACAAGUAUUUCUUCUUGCUUGCUUGAAAAUAAAAAGAUGUCAAAAUGUAAAUACGAAAGAUGUCGCGACCAAAUUUAGAUAAAACACCUUGUAUGUAAAAUGCACUAUAUUGAGAUAUAAUGAUUAUUCGGGCCUUUCGAUAACUAAAGUCGAAAAACUUCUGCGUCAUUCGCUGAAACCAAACCCCCAUCCAACACAAAUUAUCCCGCUAUAACUUAUUCCGACAUUCCAACAGGCCCUAAUUCUAAAAUUACACAGAUAUCGAAUAAAUAUUAUUGUGGACUACAUGAUCUCGACCACUGCUCGGCCGAUGAUCUUUCCGCGGUCGAGAUCUUCAUACGCGCUAUUUGCCUCCUCGAAUUUGCAUUUUCUCGAGACGGAUUUUUGAAGGUUGAAGAUGCCCGUCUCUGCAAGCUUCACCACCUGGGGAAGAUCUUGCCUCGCCCUCGCACCAUAUGAACCGAUGAUUUUUAUCUGUUCACAAGAAGAAUACAUCAUGACAGCAAUGCACAAGUUAACCAACUGGUAAUAAAAGCGAUAACAAUAAUACUUGUACUAAACCUAGUAGUCGGUUGUACUAAACCUAGUAGUCGGUUUAAUGGUCACAUCAAUUCUUAUCGAAUAUUAAAAAUAUUACAUCUUCUAGCUACUACAUAUAACAAAGGAUUGCUUUCAAGUAACUAGUAAUAAAGGAGUUGGUGAAACAAACAAAUCCGUGCAAUAUCCCAUUAAUUCUCUUGCAAAUAUGCCUGUUUGAUGGAACCAAAAAGGAAAAAAGAAAAAAUAAAAAGGAUUGCUAUUAAAUUUAUUUACAGGAUUAUUGCAAAUAAUCCAGUAUAUACUCCAUGAAAGUGAUAAGGGAAAUAUUGAGAACGAAAUAAGAGAUUGAAUUGCCCAACUAAUUGAGAUACGCUAUCUUAUAAAGCCUAAAAUUUUUUAUUGGAGCAACAGGUAUGUAGGUAUACCUGUCUUCGAACAAGACGAGUAAUAUCCACCUCGCCCAUCACGUUUGUCGAAGCAAGGCCGAUCAUAACAGCUUUUCCUCCAUCACACACGCUUUUCGUGCAUUGCAUAAAUGUCUGCGGCUUCCCUAAUGCUUCUACAGCCACAUCUACACCCCUCCCCCCGGUAAUUUCCUGUAAAGAAGUCAAAAUUAAUGAUUACACAACAACCAGGAUCACAAAGUUUACAUUGCAACGUAUUUCUGAACUUCCAACUUCAACAAUAUGGUCCCUGAACUUUCUCAUAUAUUACAAUUCCAUCCUUCACUGUGAGAAAAGAAAGAUAAAUGUUCCUUAAAAUGACCAUUUUACCUUUCUCACAUAAAAUGAUGUCCUUGUUUCAAUACCUUUUAACAGGGUUAGAAAGGUCAUUUUGUAUGCAAUAUGUCAUGUAUUGCUAGAUAUCUUUUAGCAGCCAAGGAUAAAAUUGCACUCCGUUAAAAUGAAAAGAUUUAGAACUAAAAAGUGUUUGACUGAAAAAGUUCAGGAACUACGUUACAUUUUGUCUUUUGUCCUUCGUAUUUCAAUGACGAAUUAGAAAGGCUGGAAUGAUCGCUUCGGAUGAAUAUUUAUACAAAACAAUCACCAAAAAAGAAACUCCAUCUAAGAAAUUAAUUAAUCUUGUAACUUUUUAUUCGUGCCUGGAUUCUUUCAACAGCAUCUUCUUUUUGUGCAUUUAUUGUAUGGGUAGCGCCAAGCGUUGUGGCAUUUUGGAGCUUUUCAUCCGAGAUGUCGACUGCUAUGACUUCAGAAGCUCCAAAGGCUCGGGCUAUCUGUAGACAACUGCAGGGAAAACAGAGAAACAAAAUGAUGCAGUAACUUAAUUUUCCAUCAAAAGAGAAGAUAUACAAAUCUAUUUGCAAUAGUAAAGCCUUCAAACUUAACGAGACGGAAACUUCAUAAAUGCUCUUACCAAUCAGUGGACACAGCAUAAAGUACAAAUAAAAUGUGAUAAUAGGAUGAUUGUAGUAUCCACAGGCCAUAGCUGGAAGCUUUCUAUGCAAAUGGAGAAACUAGAUGCAAAUCUAACAUUAAUGAAAAUUUGACCUAAAAAUCAAAAACAGUCAAUUUCAUGAGCGCUUAUUAGAAAUAUGUUACAAAUAUGUUGUGAUAAAGCAACUAACAUGCUCUCCAUAAAGCAAGACAUUCUAUAACCUCAACAUUUUCCUGAAAACAAUUAGUAUAUUCGAGUAGCACUUUAUAGAACCAAACUGUGUUAAGAAAUUGAGGGGAUUUUAAUGAAAAUGCUAUUAGGGCUUCUUCGAAAACUCUGCUCAGGGAGCACCUUCUGCAGAACUCCAAUUGAGCCUAACAGGCCAUUGGUGGAUAAAUAAGAAAAUCAAGAAAGUUUUAAAUUCAGUAGAAGAUUGGUGGUCACCUCGAUCCGACCCCACCAACUCCAAUUACGGCAACUGAAUCCCCAGCACGCAUCUCGGCAGCGUGCCUCAUGGCACCAUAAGCAGUAAAGACUGCACAUCCUAGAAUCGCUGAUUCUGUAUAUGGCAGUGAGUUAGGAAGAACUGCCAAUGCAUUGGCAGGCACAACACAGUACUCAGCAAGUCCACCCAUACUGUACAUGUACACCGGCUUUCCUGUUAAAUUUUUUUUAAAAAAAAAGGAAGAAAGGAGUUUUAGGCACUAGUAUACAAAAUGGAAAGAGAUAUUUAUAUAUCUUCCUCCGGAAAAUUAUCCAUUUAUAUGUAUAUCCCUGCAGAAUCAGAAUUAUCAUAUAUGCUCUUCAGAAACUUGAUUCUCUCGUACUGAACUAACGAACCUUUGAACAACCUUUUCUAAAUUCAAAAACAAUAUUACCCCAUUACAUGGCUUACACAAGUAGACGCAUACAGUGCUUUAAAUUGCGGCCGCUAUAGCAGAUUUUAUGUGCUACCGUUACGUUAUAAUAUGUAAAGCGGUAUAUAACGGAUCGGGUUCAUAGCGGCCGCUUUAUCGGCAUAGGACCCGUUGAAGCGGCCGCUAUAAAGCAGUUAGAAAGCGGGCGCUAUUAGUCCAAUUCUUAAAAAAGUGCAAACGGGUUAAAAUAGCUUAAUGUUUCAGAUUCUUAAAUGAAAUACAAAGAUCAAACCAUGUUUCUAAGGGUUUGGAAGAUAAUUAUUUACCUAAGAUAUUCUUUUUGACAUUCAUUUACAAAUUGUUUAGAUUGUUAAUGGAUUAUAGAUUUUCAAAUGUUAUGUCUUUUUGGUUUGCUAAAUAUUUCGAAGUUAAUUUUAAAUUCUUAAUAGAUAACGAUAUUAAUAUAUAUAGGCUUGCAAUACUAAAAAAAAAAGAAUGAUUAGUUGUCGUUUUUUCAAAAUUAUAUGUAUUUUUUAUAAGGAAUAUAAACAUAUUAAAUAUGCUUUUAUGAAACCCGCUAUGGGUUCAUAGCGUCCGCUAUGACGCCCGCUAUCCAUUUUCCGCUAUGAGACUCUCCAAAUGCUAUGUACCCGCUAUCCGUUAUUUACAACCUUAGAUGCAUACCAUUGCUGCGUAGAAAAAGUCGUGUUUCGCCAUCAUAGAGUGUCCCUUUGGCACGAUUAUAUGCGAAGAAGGCCUCACAUAGAUCUUCUUGUCCCUAUAUAUUUAUAUUGAAAUAGGUCAAGCCACAAAGAACUAAUUUAGCAGUAAAACAAAUAAAUAUUCAGAGAGAAGCAAAAUCUUGAUAACUACCUUAACACAGUAAAAGCAAUUGCCACAAGGCAUUAUGAAAGCACCAACUACAUGACUCCCAAUAGGAAACCUGAAGAUGACAAGUAUCAAAUAUUAUUUCUGCUGAACAUUAUUGAAGGUUCCCUAAUUGAACAGACAAUAUCUCAUAAUAUUUGCAAAAGGGAAAAAGAACAGACUAAGUUGCAAAUACAGAAGAAAAAAAAAAGAAAUGGAUAUUUUUGCAAAGUGGCCGAGAAACAAGUUUCGCUCUCACAAAUUCUUGGCACAUGUAAUUAUACCUCUCUUUAAUCCGAUUAUCAGUGUGUGCACCAUACUCAACAACCUCUCCGGUUAUUUCAUGCCCCACAACACAAGGACUUGCGAAUGGGAGUUCACCUUUCAUGACAUGAAGAUCGGAGUGACAAACGCCACAGGCUGCAUUUAUUGAUCAAAGGCAGAUUAAUAGCAUAAGCCGUCAUUUUGAUAAGCUUCAUAUAACCCACAAUUAGGUCAAAAAAGAAGGAAACAGCAAUUGCCGUAUACAGGAAGGAUGAUUACAAGGCAGAGUAACAAACCAUAGUACAAGUAUAUGAAGAUAAGUUCAGAAAUUUAAGUAAACUCUUCGUCUAUUGAGAUCUCAUGCUGUCCUGGUCGUGGCAUCUAAUUAUCUCAAAGCAGUACCAAAUGGUGGUUAACAAAUGCAGAAGUUUGCACAAAGUUAAAUUUGACAGUUGACCAUGUAGUUUAAAGAUUAGUCUCUAUAGUUCUCCCCAUUUGUACGUCACAAUACAUGGAGGAUUUGACCACAAGCGCAUCAGUAUCCUAUUGAAUGAUAUUUCGUGAAGACAAUUUGUGAGCUCUCAAUAGGAUAUCAUUAUUUGGUUUAAGCCAAACUAAUUUUGAAUCAAUUUUGUAAUUAGAUAUGGAUGAGACAACUUGACAACCUUGCUGGGUACUUCAAUUCUUGUAAUUUCUAUGAUAAUCCCUCAAAUCAUCAAUCCUUUUUUUUUUUAACAAAACACAAGAACCUAGCUGAGAUAAAGACAUCUGGAUAAGGAAAGGUCAACUUUUAACCUCCAGUGCAGAAAAAGUUUUCUCAUCUUCCCACCAAAUUUCCACCUACUUCUCCGAACCAUCCUGCUCCGACAAUCCCACUCUUCCUCUCCUCUUCUCCCUUUUAUAGAACCUUUUAAUAGUACUAUCCUAAUUUGAUUGAUGAUCUCCAACAAAAUUCAGAAUUUUCAGCCUACUAACUAAAACAUUCUCACUCCUCUUUUCUCUCGCUCUCUCCUUUAAUCGGAUCUCAACUUCUAUAUGCAUACGGCAUCCUUUUUCUUAAGACACAAUAGGGUGAGCAUUAGGGGAAAAAAGAAGAGAUCCUAAGAGUAGGUCCGAAGGAAUCAUAUGAGAACCCGAAAAGCAUCCCAUUAGUUAAAAAUACUUAAAAAUACGUCGAAGAUGAAUGGAAUUGACCUGAACUAUGGCCUGUUUAGGGAUAACUGCCGAACUCUUAAAAGUUCUGACUUUGCUAUAUAACGCUUCGAUUCCUUUGGAUUUAAGUCAUUUAGUAGGUCUUCAGUCAUAAAAUUUGCUGUACUUUAACAAGAACGUUGCCACAUAAAUCACAUGAGAUACUUAUCAAAUUAAUUACGAAUUGAAAGGUUAUAUAUCGAAAUCAAAAGUUUCAGGGUUGACUAGUCAUCUCAAAUCGGGGCAUAGUUCAAGUAACUGUGAUAGGUUUUUACCUAAAAAAUAUCAUAAACCAUUCUUGUUGUUAGUGAAUUAAUAAUUUAACACAAUGUGAGGUAUAUCAUUGGCAUAUUCUUCGAAUCUACAGUUAAAAUAACCUAGUAAUAUAAUACACAGCAUGAUGAUAGUGGGGCACUGUUACGUAGUUUACAAAAAGUUGAGGAACUAAUCUGCAAUAAUCCAAAGACCAAAUGGAUUUUUUAAUAGGAACAAAACAAACCGAUCAACAUCAAAUCGACAGAUACCCAAGAUCGGAGACUAAAGCCCUAAUAACGCGAUCGAUUGCGAGGGGGUAACGAUGAGACCUUUGGUCCUGAUGAGGAGCUCCCCGGCCUUGGGGCGGGGCAUGCGGAACUCCUCGACUGCGAGGGGUCUCCCGGGCUCCCAGAACACGACCCCGCGCAUGGAGGAGGGGGCUCCGUCGACGAAGAACCCUGCGGCGGAGGAGGCGCCGCCGCCGCCGCCCCGCUCCACCCCCGCCGCGGCGGCGCAGAGGGAUCGCCGGAGAGGGGAGGGGCGGAGGAGCUUGGGGAGGCGGCGAAGUAGGGAUCGAGAGGCGUAGGAGGAGAAGAACGCCAUUGGAAGAGGACGAGGAAGAGAGAGAGAGAGAGAGAGAGAGAGAGAGAGAGAGAGUAGAAGAUGGAGAGACUCUCGGAGACGAAGUAGAGAGAGAGAGAGAGAGAGAGAUUUGUAUAGUGUUCGUUGAGGGGGCCCACCAAAAUAUACAUAUAGAUAUAGGGAUAAUUACUUUAUACCCCUCAACACAUCUGAAAUUUCUUAUUUAUCCCUGUUUUGUUUUUCAAAUAUAUUGCUCGUAUAUUUCUCUAUUAUUUAAAAAAUAUACUGUUAGUGUACGUUGAGUUAUCUCAGAUUAAAUAAUUUAAUUUAUACCAUAGUUAAAAAUAGUUGAAAUACCUAUUUUGUUUCUAACUUAAGGACAAAUAAAAAUAGCUGGUGAUGUAGAAGAGCAUUUAAAAGAAUAAAAAAAUCAAAAUACUUUUUUAUCCUAACUUAACAGUAAAUAAAAAAAUCGGUGAUGAUAAAAAAAUAUAUUUAAAAGAGUAAAAUGAUAAUUUCCUAAAGAUAACGAUGGCCCCUAAUAGUUCAUUAAUAGAAUUUAACUCUAUAAAUAUAUUUGAAAAACUUUAAAAUUUUGAAAUGAUAUUUUUAAUGUGAACCAGAAAUAAAUAAGAAAAGCCAAAAAAUUUUAUCCAUCUUUGGAUCAUAUUUGGAUAAAUUGAUAAGAUGAUUAAUUAGAUUAAGGCUUUAUAAGAUAAGAUAUGAAUACAUUUUGGAUGAUUUAAAUCUAAUAAUAUAUAUUUUAAAUUGAUAAUUUUUUAAAGGAGAAAAAAUAAGCUCAAAAUAGUUGGAACAAAAUUUGCCAUUGCAUACAUUAUUGUUUUUUUUUUUUUUUUUUGAGGGUCAACACAUAUAGAACUUAUCAAAAUUAUGGAUCACUUUAAAUUUACUAUCCGACUUUUUAAAAAUUAAUUUUACUAUCUAAAAUUUUAUUCUAUUUGAUUUGAGUCUAUCAACAGUGCAUUGACUUAGGAUUUAAACUUAUUUCUUACUUAAUAAAUUUAUAAUUAUAAAAAUUAUAUAAAGUAUACUAAGUAAAUUCAUAUAGAUAAAUAAUGUAUUCAAAGUUUAAAGUAAAAAUACCAUCGAAUGACUCAAACCAAAAAAAUUAAAAUUAGAAUUUUAAAAGAUGGAUAGCCGAAUUAAAAUAAUUUAUAUUUUAGAUAAGUUUUGGGCCAAUUUGCAUAAAAAAUUCAUUUAUUUUAGAUUUUUGCAAAACCGGGCCACCUUUUUCGUUUUUGCAGAUUCGGUCCACUUUUUCAGCAAACUGACCAAAAUACCCUUUUUACUUUUUCUCUUUCUUCUUUCUCUCUCCUCUUUCGUUUCUCUCGUUCUUUUUUUUUCUCGCCGGCAGAGCGGAGGCGGAAACGGUCCGUCUCGCCUCUCACCCUCAUUCUCUAGCCCUCGCCCUCGUCCUCGCCCUCGCCCUUGCCCUCGUCCACGCACCCCCCACCUUCCUCGCCUCCAACCCCGCUAAGGCCGCGCCACGACUUUUUUUUUUUUUUUUUUUUUCUUUCUUUUCUUCUCCGACUCUUCUCGACGUCUUAUCUACAGUUACGACGAUUACCUCUCUGUCCUUCCCCCUUCUCAUCUCUUCCCUCUCCCUCAUUCUCUGCCGCUCGACGACGAUGCAUCUUCGCCGGCGCCGACGUCGACACCCGUGGAGCGUCACUGCGCUCCACAGGUCGCGAAGCGGGGUCCUUAGCGCGUGUCAGUCGCCGGCACCGGGCCUGUUUCCAGAGAAGGUGACAAAAAAAAAUUAUAGAAAAAACAAGAAAAAAAAAAAAAAUAAAGAUAAAAAAAAAAAAAAAAAAAAGAAAAAAAAAGAAAAAAAAAAAUAAAAAAAAAAAAAAAUUAAAAAAAAAAAAAAAAAAAAAAAAAAAAAAAAAAAAAAAAAAAAAAAAAAAAAAAAAAAAAAAAAAAAAAAAAAAAAAAAAAAAAAAAAAAAUUAUAAAAAAAAAAAAAAAAUGAUAACAAAAAAUUAUAUAAAAGAAUGAUGAAAUCAAAUUGGUUUAUUGUUAACUGCCCAAAACAUAAAAUUAUAAGUAUUGCACGUAUUUAGAUGUAAACUGCCAGCUUUUAGAUGAAAACUCUACUCUUUAAACGAAAAUUACACUAUUGAGCAGAAUAUUUACACUGUUUCUUUCUUAUUACACUUGUUCAGAUGCUAGAAACUGGCAUACAUUAAGAUGAAAGUUACACACUCUUUUAAACAAAAGUUGCCACUGUGUUUCCCUGCUUGUUGGCCGCUUUCCUCUUUGUUAAAAUAUUUUUUAUCUUAAACUGCCACCCUUUUAAGAGAUAUUGUAUACUGAUUUCUCCUCUUGCUUGACACCAUUUUGUUUGUGUAAAUAGAGAGAAUCGUGACAAGCAGGAGGAGAAACAGUGCAAGAAGAGAAGAAACUGCACUGUUUUAGGAAUAUAUAUUUACCUGUUUCUCUCUUGUUGCAUCAUUUCUCGUUGUAAACAAGAGGAGAAAUAGGCUCAAACAGAGGAGAACUGCACUAUUUUGAAGAGACUAUAUCUACUGUUUCUUUCUAUUGUUGCACUGUUUCUCUUCUUGUUGCAACAUUUCUGUGUAACACAAUAGCAAGAAAUAGUGCACAUAAGAGGAAAACAAAUGCAUAAGAGGACGAAACUGCACCUUUUAAGAGUAUUAUACUGUUUCUCCUCUUAUUGUACUGUUCUCCUCUUCGUUGCACAUUUCUCUGUGAAAUAAGAGGAGAAAUAGUGCAACAACAAAAGAGAAACAGUGCAACAAGAGGAGAAACAGUAUAAAUAUCACUUAAAAGGAUGCAGUUUAAGAUAAAAAAUAGUAUAAUUUUCGUUCAAAGAGUAUAAUUUUUAUCUUAAAGCAGCAGUUUACAUCUUAAAUAGUGCAACUUAUAAUUUUUUUGUAAUUAACGAUGUAAUUUCAUCUUCAUCCUUCUUUUUAUAUAAUUUUUUAUCUUUAUUUUUUUUCUGUUUUUUCUAUAAUUUUUUUGUCACCUUCUCUGCCAACAGCUACGGCGCCGGUGACUGCGCCGGUGACGACGCCGCUAAGGACCCCCCGCUCCGAGGCUGUAGCGCCGCAGUGACCUCUACGGUGUCGACGUCGGCGCCGGCGAAGAUGAAUCGUCGUCGGAGGCGGCAGAAAAUGAGGGAGAGGGAGAGAUAUGAAGGGCGGGGAAGGGCGAGAGGCGUCGUCGUCGGAGACGGUGGAGAAGAGUCGGAGAAGAAAAGAAAAGAAAAAAGCAAAAAAAAGAAGUCGCGGCGCGGCCUUAACGGGGUCGGAGGCGAGGAAAGUGGGGGUGCAUGACGAGGGCAAGGGCGAGGGCGAGAGCAUGAGGGUGAGAGGCGAGACGAACCGUUUCUGUCUCCGCUCCGCCUCCGCUCUACCGGCGAGAAAAAAAAAAAGAACGAGAGAAACGAAGAAGAGAGAGAAAGAGGAAAGAGAAAAAGUAAUAAGGGUAUUUUGGUCAGUUUGCUGAAAAAGCGGACCGAAUCUGCAAAAAUAAAAAAGGUGGCCCGAUUUUGCAAAAGUCCAAAAUAAGUGAAUUUUUUAUGCAAAUUGGCCUAAGUUUUGUAUGUUUUUACCUUCUAAUUUUUUUUCAAAAUUAAGAGACAUUGCAUAAAUCCUAGAAACAUUGGGAAUUAAUAUACAAAGAACACAACACAUCUUCAAAAAUUAUGAAUCAUUUUAAUUUGACAAUCCAAUUUUUAAUAAUUUUAAUUUUAUUAUUCAAUUCUUUUAAUUUGUUUGAUAUUGAAUCAGUAAAUAUAAAUAAUAUUUUGAAUUUAAAGUUUAAACUUAUUUAAGUAAAUUUAUAGUCGUGAGAAUUAUAUGGAGCACGCUAAUUAAAUCUGUAAAAAAUAAAUAAUAUAUUUUAAUUUUAAAAAUACAGGUGUACUACUCAAAUUAAAUAAAUUAAAAAUUAGAUAAUAAAAUUUAAAUUUAAAAAGGUUUGGUUAGUUUGUGCAAGUUUUUGACUUGAAAAAUUAAAAAAGGGGGCGAACUCCGCUGAAGAGCCGAAGAAACCCUCGUCUCUCUCUCUCUCCCACGCUGCCUCCUCUCUCUUUCUCUCUCGUGCGCUCUCUAAUGGCGGAAGAAGAGAAUAAGACGACGCCGCCGCCGACGACGCCGCCGCUGCCGACGACGACGACGACGACGACGACAACGAAGACGAUCCCUGCGCGCUACGACCUCGAUGCGAAGUGGGACGCGUGCCUCGACCUCUCCAUCCGCCGCGUUGUCUACUCCUCCCUCGCCGGCGCCUUCACCGGCCUUCUCUUCUUCCGUGAGAACCUAAGCGCCCCCACCCCUCCCCAUCUCUCUUUCUCUUUCUCACUCUUAUCCCCCGAUUCGAUCGUAUGACCUAGCCCAAAUCGGUUCCCCCCUUUCGAAUCCGUCGAUUUGGUGCUCAUUUCGGCGUUUUCUGCGAGAUUUCUUUUUUUUUUUUUUUAAUGCCUGAUUAGUUGGCUAGGGUAUUGUCUUACCUAAAAUCUGUUUCCCUCUGCGAACCUCGUCGAUUUGAUGCUCAUUUCACUGUUUUUUGCGAGAAAUUGGGGUUUUCUUGCACUUUUAUGCCCGAUUAGCUGAUUUGGGCGACAGUUUUGCCUAAAAUUGGUUUCCAUCUCUCAGAUUCGGCAUAUUGAUGAUCCUAAUGGCGUUUUGUGUGAGAUAAUUUGCUUCUGUUGUUCUCUUUAGGCCGAAUUGUUUGAUUCAUUUCACAGUUUUAGCAAUUUAUCCGCUUAUUUGCUCUUGCAUAACUGAUCUGCUUCAUAUGUUUCUAAGCAUCUAGUUUCUGUUGUUGAAAUGCUCACUUAUAGGGUUUGAUCAUUCUUUUACUAUUGUAGUAAGUAGAUAUGGCGAGAUUAAUCUGUAUUGAAGCUUGUAAUGUUUGAUUCGUUAUCUGGGUUGUAAUCUUUGUGGGACAUGAUUUGUGUUUUUGGUUCUUUGAUCUAUCACUAUUGUGAUGAUCUUUUGCAUCAUUUAUGAGGGAACAGGAGGAGAGAAAAUUGCUACAUGUAUUCAUCUAUGAAAUAAUGCAUGUGGAAAUAGAGCCAUCAGAAACCAAAUUUUUAUUCUAUGUCUAGGUUAUGUCCAAAUAUAAUGCCCCAGUUGGUAGCUUAGGAGAGUUGGUCCUUAGUUUCUCCAUCAGAGUAUGACAUUCCUUCCUCUCCUCUAUGGAUCAUAGCUGAUUAUUUAAGGUGCAUUAAAUCUUCAUGUUACUGCUUAAAAGGUUAUUCUGUUAUGCUUGAUACUUGUUUUUGCCACUUUAUGUACACUGUUUUACUUUCACUAUCCUUAUUCUCUAUUGUUUCUAUACUGUUAGGGAGCCCGACAACUCGAUGGGCAUCCAUAGCUUUUGGUGCUGGAGCGGGCGUUGGAGCAGCAUACACAGAAUGCUCGUAUCUGUUUGAUGGUUCUGCUCCCAAGUGGUCUCCGCCUCCUAAGGUUUCAACUGUUCAUCCUGCUUCCUCAUUGGUAUAUAUAUAAUUUUUAUUUUUUCCUUCGAUGCUUAUUAUUGAUUUUGUUGUGUUUAUAAUACUUGGUCUAGAUGAGAGAAAGGAAAUAGGAAAUUGGGGUUUAUCACAUUUUCAAUUAAAAUCCUGGUUGAACUGUUCCGAGGAAAAUACUUUCUUGCCUUGCACUGCUGAACAAAUUUUUCGAGUCACUUUUGUGUCUUUAGAAUACUAGUUUUCAGCGGAACUUUCUGAAAAUUUGUGAGAAAAAACUAUACACGAUACUACGCAAAUGUUUCUUAUACACGUCAUCUUCAUGCAUUCUGGUUGUUCUCUCUGACCCGUGAAAUUUCUUCUAUGGUUGCGCAAUAUUGGAAAAUAGUAUGCAAUGAAGAGAUGGUUAUUAAAUGCUGACUAUCUGUUGAGCUAAUUUGACAAAAUCAUGCUAUUAUUCUAUGAGUGUAGUUUUUUGAAUGAUGUAUUUCCUGAUUAUUAAUGCCUAUGAAUUGUUAAAUACAAACUAAUCAGUCUUCCUUAGAUAACAAAGUAUAUACAUGUUGCAUGCAUGUAAUUACUCAUUGUGCUCGGUACUUUUGAAAAUAUAGCAGAAGAAACUGGUGUACGAUUUGUUUUUCUAUUUUACUGGAUUAUAUAUGGCUUUAGAAAAUUUCUAUUUGUAAAAUGGCAACUAUCUAUAAAUUUGUAACUUUUGGAUCCAAGUUUAAAACAGAAAGAAACUCGUAUAAUAUGGAACUUCUAUCUGGUAGUUAUUAUAUAGAUUGACAUUUACAACUUAUAUAUGUGAUGCAGUCUAAUAUUUCUUUAGUGCCAUUUUCCUUUUGGCUAUCACUACCUUUCUAAAAGGGCUAUUAUAAUCCUACUAACAAUCUUAUAUUUAUCAGUUGUUAUUUUUGAGAGUCCGUGCAAUGUUCAUGUCUUAGGAAUGUGAUAUAAAUUUUCUCUUUAUAUAUCACCUAUUUUAUAUGUUUGAUUGGUGCUUGUGUGGUCUGAAUUGAUAUGGUUAUUAAAGGAGAAAUUAAGAUGAUAGAACGAAAAUCUCUAAUUUUAAAGAUUUGUCACUAACAUGCAGAUCAGCCUGGACAUGUUAAUAUCUCAUAAUUGAUUUGAGAGCUUGUAAUAAUGUCUUUUUAAUAAUGGUUACUAAAGAAAAAAGAGCACUAAAUGUUUUCUCAUUAAGAUGAGUAUAAUGUGAAAGCUUUUCUUAAGCCAUUUAAUUUGAAUUCAAGUUGAAGAUUUUUCUUUGUAAUGUUAAUGCGAUCUCUAUUUUUAAAGUAGUACUAAAAUGCAUUUCGAUUCUUUUUUCUUAAGGAUUUAAUGCACUAAAGAGAGAAGCAAAUUAAUCAGUUAUUUCUUUUGUUUUGCUUGGGCAUGGAUUAAUGAUGCAAAAACAAGAAUCAUGUGUUGUAAUUUUGUUAUAUUCUUAUUUACAUAUUUGUUAUAUAUUGAAGUGUGAGUUAUCCACCAUGUAAUUGAAAAUGUGAACUGUCAUAUCCUCCGUAAUGCAUCGUGAAACUAUCAUAUGCUCAUCAAAUUAUGGUGUCUUUGGACACUAUACCAAUUUUUUUCCUUUUAGACUGAAGGCUUUAUAUCUAACCUAUAGGCGGAAAUCUUUUCUUUAUCAGAGAAGUGAACCAAUGAAGUAAAAAAUCCUAACUCCUAAUAUGAAUAUGAUGAUUGUAACACUUAAGAUCUAAAAAAGUCUCUUAACGUUUUGAAAUCGUGUUGAAAUCGUGAUGAAUGGUAGCACUUCCUUUGUGCCACAUUUAUUGGGGUUCAUGUUGAAUUCUUGUAGACUGAUACUGGCUUUUGACAGUAAAGUAACAUCAGUAAUAGUAUUACAAACUGUAUGAAUAUUAUCCUGUGAGAUGUGCAACAUAGAAACUAAAAAAAAACAAUUGAUAUAAAGAAACUGGUGAACAAUCUUGAUAAAAAAAAAAAGUAUAUAGAAUUCUAGCUCUCCGUGCGAAAAUGGAUAAAAUCAACAAAAGAGUGGUUAAUAUACGGAUAUCAACAAUUGAUGUGCGAACAACACAUGUAGAAAAUACUUGAUUGCUUUGAAACUACUUAGAAAUUUCACAUGUUACAUUAUAUGUGGGAGCACUCAGACGCUAUCGAGCAUGAAACCAGAGGAAUUGUGCAAAACGUCAGUGAUACGUAGGAAAUGUAAUAAUGCUGUUUCUUUCAGUUGUAAGGAGCAGUCUGAAUUGAUAGUAAACUUAUAUCACAUUUCUUUAUCCUUCGAUAACAGAAAUAAAAUAGGCAUUUUUUUAGUCAGUGCGAUAUUUAGUUUUUGAACUCUAAAAAACCAAGAAACUUGAACCUCUUCUUACUUUCUGUUCUUUCUGCUUUGUAGGAAGAGAAGUGAAUGACUGAUCAAAAGUCUUUUGGUUAAGGAAUUUUUGAAGGUAUGGAGCAAGAUAUUUCUUUCCUUUUGUAUGUCGGCUUGACCUUACACUGAGGAACUGUAUUUGCUCCUUUGGAUCUGUUAUACUAUUGAGAAUAUGUUUUGUUUCGAGCUUUGUUCAAUCACUGAUGUUCCCUUGUUUGAUUGUCGAAAGCAGCAAUAAAUGCAUGCUAUGUAAACCUUUUGAUAGGUGCCCUUAAACUUUGUGAGAAUAGCUUUAGCAUCAAUGCCAUAUUUUUAUGAACUUUUUUUUUUCCCCCUGAUCAUUAUUCCCUUGCUCUUUGGUGUCAUUUAAGAAAUCUGCCCAAAAUUGCUAUGUGAUAUGGGACUGCUCCUCCCUUGCGAAAUUCACAACAGGAAAAUCAUAUAGGGUUUACACACCUGCAAUACGUGAAAUUGUGCACAAGACUAUGUUCGUAUUCAUAUAUGCGCCCGUAAAACCCUUACUUAUUUUGGCGCAUGGCGUUGCUAGGUAUUUUGUCCAAAACUGUGCGUAUUAUUUGCAGAGCGCACAACCCUGACGGUGUCUAUGUCUAAGUAGACAGAACUUCGGGCUGUAUGUGUACAAAUACCAACUCUGCAGGGCUAUUUCAGUAAUUUCACAUGUUUGAGAGCGGUAUGUUUCUAAUUCUAUUCAGCGAUGUAAAAAGUAGAAGUUUCAUAUCAGAGUUUUUGAGUUUUAGUUUGCGUAGAAGCUCAUUUUUAGCUUCUCAUUUUAGUUAAAAAUUCCGUAUUUCUCUUAUUCAUCAUAGGCUUGUUGCUCGUGCUUUUCCUGCAGGUCUUUUUGUCCUUUUUCAAUCAGUGUAAAAUUCAGAUGUUUCUUUUUCCUUAGCUCAUAUCUAAUUAAUACCCAAGUACUUUUUUUUAAAAAAAUCUCAAGUAAAUGAGGCUAAAAAUACUGGCAAAUGUAUUUAGAUUCCAUGCCAUCAUUUACUUUUCUGUUUCACCCUUCCUGUUCACUCUUUAGAUUCACUCCCAAUUUUGGAUAGGAUGCUUUUGAAGGGACAAAUUUUGCUCUCUCAUAACAAAAAUUCUGAAGUUCAAACACCAGAUGCUUAUAAUCAUCACAAAAUUUUAAUGAAAAUAUUCAAAUAAUAAUAUAACUAAGGGUAAGUUGUACAUUUGGUCCUCAAACUAUGAGGUGAGGUGGGUGACACUUUACUCCCUAUAUUUCACUUUGUGGUAAUCUUUUUGCUCAAACUUUUAAGACUAGUGUAAUUAAGUCCUAUAACUCACUUUAGUUAAUUAAACAUUGAUUUAUCGCUAAUAGUAUUGUGAUUGAUAAUACGCUAAUAAUUAAGAUACUAUUGUACUUUUACAUCAACAAUGUAUUAAUAUUUACUCAAAUAAAUAGGAUUGUGAGAUUUGAUUGUAAUAAUUUUGAAAGCCGGAGUCAAAAAUAUAUAACAAAUUAAAGUUUUGUGGAUUAAAAUGUCAUAGUUUGAGAACCAAAGGUGCAAUUUACUCUAUAACUAAAAGAGCAAAAGAGGGCGAGGCGAGUGUGUGUGGCCAAAUGGGGUUAACCUGGAGUUUGAACAAAUUUUUGAGCAACCAUCAAUUAUAACAGAUUUUUUUUUUUUUUUUUUUUUUUUUUUUUUUUUUUUUUUUUUUUUUAGGUAUGUAUAGGACUUACCUAGAUUAUAGAUUAUUUUGAUUCGGCUAUAUUCAAAUUUUUUAAAAUUUGAUUUUAGAAUCUAAGUUUUUUAAUAUUUUUUAUCUAAAUUAUUUGAUGAUUCUUUUAAUAUAAAAUUUAAAAGUUAAUUAUUUUAAUGUAUUUAUAAUUAUAUGAAUUAUAUUAAAUAUAUUGAUUAAGCAUAUAAAAAUAAAUAAUGCAUUUAAAUUUUAAAGUAAAAUAGUUUUUUGUAACGAUUCGAUCCACCGGUAAUAAUAAUUCGUUGGCUCAAAUCACCGGCUCAAUUAUUAUCACAGAUUCUAACCAUUUAGGUUCUGACGUUCUCGUUAGCCCUAAAUUUGGAAGAGGACUACUCCAAGAUCAUCAGGUGAUGUGAGAUUUAUCUCGCUAGUUUUGUCAUCCUAUUCUAGCUUAGCUUGUCAUCUUGUCAUUCCGACACUAGCUCAGCCGAAAUUUAUUUUACAUUUCUGGUUGGUGAUUGGCUAUGAUAACAUAUAUUUUCGGCUGGUGAUUGGCUCUAAUACUAAAUGUAACGAUUCGGCCCACUAAUAAACAAUAACUCUUGGGUCCAAAGCAUUAACCCAAAGUAUUUUAGCCGAGUUAUUUUUACUAUGAUAAAAAUUUUUUAUACCUAAUGACAAUCCUAUUUUCAUCCGAUAUAGGAUUAUUGGGUAUCAUAUUAUUAAUUUAUUCAAAUUAAAUAAAUUAAAAGAUUAGGGAAUAAAAGAAAAAUUAGGUAGCUAGAUAAAAAUGGGUGGUAAUUGAGGUACGUUCUAUACAUUUUAUUCUUUUUUUAUCUUAAAGAGAAUUCCUUUCAGAUUAAAAAAUGAAAUUGUAUGUAAAGAAAUAAAUAUGAAGAAUCUCCUCUUCUCUUCUCCAAAAUUUAAUUCAAAUUUUGCACAUAAAAAAAAUGUCCAUUAAAAAAAAUUAAUUGACAACAAUUUAUGUUUAAGUGCAAUGAAAAUUUUCUAUUUAAAUCAAUUUAAUUGCACAUUAAUGGAAGUACCAAUAAAAAUUUAAUUCACAAAAAAAAAAUAUUUAUGUUCAAAAUAAAUGUCACGUGCGCUGCACGCUAGUUUAGGUAAAGAUGCAUAAGAAACCCCUUCACUAUAUCGCAUUUUGACAUUACCCCAACAUAUUUUUUUUUGUUCACGACUCUAAACUAUUUAUCUUUUUAGAGCCGAAUAAUUUCAGGGAAAUAAAUUAAAAUUAAUAAUUAACAGCUAAUAACUACUAGAACUAGAAUCACUAAAUUUAAUAAAAUUUUUCAACAUAGUUAAAAUAAUUUAAAUUUUAAAAAAAUAAAACAACUUAGGAAUUGAGGGAAUCUCUACCCCAAGAAACCAGUGAAGUUAAGAGCCACUUCCAAAAUGGUUUAUAAUGAGGGGAACCCUUCCAUAUACAUAUUUACCCUACACUUGUUGUUACAUAUAAAAAUAUUUAAACACCGUUAUCUAAUAGCUUAAAUUUUUCGAGUACAACGACUGUCUCAUAAAAUAUCAGAGCAGAAAAUUCUGAAUUCGAAUCACACCAAACUCCUAACAUAUUAAUUUCCUCCAAUUUAAUUCAAGCAUGCGUCAUGGGCCGACUAAAAAAUCACGAGCCCAGACGUGAGGGGCUCACACUUCUUGGCAUAAAUGCCAGAUAACAACACAACAUUUAAAAUAACAAAGAAAUAAAAAAGAAAAAAAAAAAACUUCUUAUAAGUUAUAAUGCACCAACCCAUCAUCAAUCUACAUCUCUAAGCUCAAACAACAGACCACUGUAUCUCAGCUGCACAAAUCACAUUAAAAAAAAAAAAGGAAAAAAGAAAAAGAAAAAAAAUCCAAACCCAUGCACUUCAAGUAAUUAACCCGCAAGGUUAAUGAAAAGAAGUGAGACAAAAGGUAUAUAAAUAUUUAAGCUACAAUAAAUAAAUAUAAGAAUAUCAGAAGAAACAGGUUUCUAUGUAUUCAGAUAACAAAUAGUGUCUCAAUCACUGAAAUCGGUGCUGCCGCUCUGCGAGCUGCUGCCGUUCCGGCUGUGCAACGACAAGCCUGAGCCGUCGACCCUCUUCUCCUGGAAGAAGCGCUCCCUCUCGACGUGCUUGGCGGGCGGCGGGGGUAUGGAGACUGCGGCUGUCUGCCGUUUGGUUUCGGGGUCUGACGGACUGAUGUUUACCCCCCUAGGCUGGUUCUCAGGAUCGGGUGGUUGUAUGAUUAAGGGGCGAAUAAGGGGCCGGCGCAUCAUUUCCUCGGGUACGGAUUUGUACGACUCGAUAGAAUCGUCGGAGCAGUCUUCCGCGCAAGCUUUCCCUUUUCUUAAUCUGUGGAUUUUUGUAGGAAAAUAGCAUGAUUAACGUCAAAAUCUUGAUAUCGGAGGGGGUAGAAAUGAGAUCUGUGUAUACUGAUGACCACCGAUUUGCCGAUUGAAGAGAAGCAUAAAAUAAUAUUUGGAUUAUACUUUUGGAGUUCAGAAGUUCAUUUCAAGUUCCACAAGAGCUAUGGAAUUUAUAUUUGCCAGCAUACAUCUCUUUAUAGGCAAAGGUAAAGGAUCAAAGAGAAUGAGGACCCCUCUAGAAGAGAUGCAUGCCCAUUUUAGUUACCCUCUCAUUGUUUUCGGCAAAUUUUCGCAUUUCUGUGAUUUAUCGAAAUCUGAAGUCGGCAUCGAUUGUGCAUGCACCAUCAUACCUGAGAUAAAGGCGUUCGGCAUCUUCUUCCUCCUGUUCAUCCUCCUGUUCAUCAUUGAUGCACGAAGCUACGGUAGAGGUCGGACGAACCGAAAGGAGUGCAUCAUGCUGUAUCAGUGCCUCAUGCAGCUGUUCGUUUAGGUCGAUAGCUUGAGUCACAAUAUUCUCAUCCCUAGCAAUAAAAUAAAUACAUCAUAUUAGGAUGUAAAUUGAUGGCAGAAUUCUCCAGAAAGGACAAUCUUGUAAUCGUCGAUAUGUGCUCAAUUGCAGUAUAAUUGAAAUUAAGUCGGGUCUAAUAUGAGAAUCUUACCGCGAUGUCAUAACCAGAUGCAUCACUCGUUGCUUUUGAAAUGAACAUUGCUCUACUAGAUCUAGCACAAACUCAUCUGUUGCUCCCUGAAUAAUAAUAAAAAAUGAAAAAAUACAGGUAAAUCUCAGAUAAGUAAUUCCUAUAAACCAAAUACCUUUCCUCACCAAAUAACAAAAAAAGGGAAAGGGAAAAAGAGCCAACAGGCUCUUAGAAGAAAAAGAAAUAACUUGUUUAGCUGACAAGCAAGGAUUAAAUUGGCGGGGAGAGCGUUAUCGGUUAUCUUCAACACUGCACAAAAAAUGGAAAAAAGUAAGAAAAUUCAAUUAAUAUGUACCUCCGGGCGUUUAGGAUCCAAGGAGUUAAGCACAUCCCUCAGAACUUCCAAGACACUAGCAGCUUUCUGAAUUAUACUGAAAAGAUGAAAAUAUGUCGUUUUAGAAACAUGUCUAGUCUGUGUACAAGUUUAGGUCGAUAACCCGUAUUUAUUUUGUCAACAUUGGGAGUCCAUGAGAGGUUCACACUUUCAUGAGAUAAAAGAAUAUAAACGCAAUACGGCACCUCGAGUCAGGCAUGGCCUGCGAAUUUGUUUGUUUUCCACCGUCAUUUCCUCGGCUAGGCAAAGAAUCUUGAGGAGCUUCGGCUGUUGGAGUCUGUAAUUCUUGUAUGGCAACACGAGGGCGUUGAGGAAAUUGCACAAGAGCAGACUUCAAAGAGGGGGAAAAAAAAUGCUAUUACUUGCAGCUUAAAUUAUACAAAGAAUGCUCUAUAAAGAAAAAGGACCGUUAUAGUUUAUGUACAACUGAAUAAGCUCGACAAAUAAAAGCGAACAAACAAUACGGCUAAUUGAUACAUCUUGCUUAGUUCUUAUAGGCCAAUCUUGGCUAGACAAAAUUGUUUAUGUAUAACUGAAUGAGCUCUCCGGAUAUGAAUGACACAUAAUACUGGAAUAAUCAAUAUCGCCCUGAUUAUAUUCCUCGCUCCAUGUCGUCCGUUGGUUAUGAUGAUAGUGCAAACGAGUUUAAGUUAUUAAACAAACAUGAUAGACGUGGAAAUAUGGGAAAACAAAACAGAAAAGGAGUAAAGAAAUCAAGAAUCGCACAACGGAAGUAGCAUUGAGAUUGAAUCAAAAGAUUAUACUGGCUAUGCAGAACAAAGAAGCAACAAAGUAUAAAUUAAACAUGGAACUUUAUGUCAGGACCUACCACCAAGUCGUAGUAAGCAGCAUAGUAUUGAGGGAAUUUCCCUUUAGCUCCACCUAGGGCCGUUUGAGUGGCAUCGAGAAGAAGAAAUAUUCUUUCGCGUACUGGGUUAUCCGUCUGUUACGCACCAAAAGAAAGAAAAAGAAAAAAUAUCAAACCAUUACAGCAAAAUAUAAUGCAUACGUAAUAGCCUGGAUUAAACUUCCGUUGAAAGAGGCCGAGAAAAAGAAGCAUUCAACCUUUUUCUUCACUAUCUUCACAAGAAUGGGAAGAAGCCCUCUAUCAAUCACCAGUCUGUGGGUGUUCUCUCCGCAGUUAUUCAUAAGCAUUUCUAACAACUGCAACAUCGAAUCGAAAGACAAAAUACGAUUGUUCAUUAUCGUUAGAGUACUCAAAGAAAGAAAAGAGAGUUGGCCAAUUAACAAGACCAUGUUGAAUACAUUUAAAAAGAAAUUAAAAUGUUUUUUUCAUGAUUCAAGAGGAUACUACUGCACACAAAGAAUAAAUGGGCUAUUGGUCUUGUAACAUCAGCAAAACAGCAUGUGCAGUUUAGAGUAAUAGUUUUGGAAAAAUAAAACGAAAGGCGAAACCAGAAACGAAAGUACUUGAGGAAAGAAUACAAAUUUGAAACUCACCAUUACAGCAAAAAGUUGUACAUUUGGGUUCUUGCUCCCUAGUCGUUUCUUAAUGGACUUGAUGACAUCUUUGGCUUGCCUGAUGAUCCAAAGAGGAAGAACUCAAUUUGUUCACAUUGAAAGAUAAAUAAAUGAUCGAGACAAUGUUGAAUCAAUGUUAAAGCUUAUUUGGUCCUACGGGAGCUUCUGCAAAAGUGUUGUUUAAAAAGAGCUGUUAGAAGAAGUGCUAACAACUGUUUUGCUAAAAUCCUCUCAGCUGCUUCUCCACACAAACAAAAGCAAAAGCUUCAAAAUGAAGCCUAUUCUUAUAGGUGGACCCAAAAACUCACUUCAACUUCCCACAAUAGCAAAAUGCCGAGCGUGUUUGGCCCAAAUUUUGCUUCUGCUUUCAGCUGCCACUGUCCCUAAUAGAGUGUUUUUGGCAAACAGAAAUACAAACAAAAAUGUGAUCUUUACGCCCAAAAGCCGAAGAUCCAACAAGGAGCUUAAGAUUCUGCUGCAGAGAGAAACUGUUACCACUACUCAAACAGCAUUUCAUCAAACAACAAUUUUCCCUACAACAGGGCCAGAUAGGCCUAAUAGUUUGCCAAACAAUGGGAUGCUGUUUGUCGGAUUAGAGAAGCUGUUCAAGAAGCCACAUAAACAGGGACCUAAGAUUACAUACCCCGGAUCGCGCGCAACAAGUUCACAUAUUUCAAUGUUCUUUGCCCAAUCGGUCUCCUUUAGCUUAUCGCUUGUCGCCGUUUUCACCAUUUCGGCCGCCAUUUCCCCCACUAAUGCGAAACUUAUCCUGAAAGCAGAAAGCAAAAUUCCAAGACUAGCAAGGUCUAAACAGAAACCCAAUCCUCAAGCCAAAAUGCACUGCUUCCUGCAAAAGCCACAAAGCACAUAUAUAUAACUGAGAGCAUACAACAACAUUAACAACUCUACCAAAAACAGUUUCAAAAUCGCUUCACAGAGAUUGAGAUCCAUCACCAUGCCACAAAACAACCACAAAACUGCACAAAGUUUUCUCUCGACAUACAGAAAAUAUAAAAAAAGAAAAAGAAAAAGGAAAAUUGGAUCUUUCUAAUCACAACCCACUCGACCAACAACAAAACUAUUGUACCAACACCAUCAACAACAAUCUCAACUAUCACCUCCCAUAAACAAUCCAAACAGCAACUCUAACAAUAUAAUUACCAAAAUUAGAGGCCAAAAUUUAGAAAAUAACCCAAUCUAAACCCACCAAGAUCCCACCUUUCCCUCGAAACCAGCGCCCACCCGAGAUCUCCCGAUCAAAACAGAAGCAAAACCUCUUGAAAGAAUCAGAAGUUACCGCAUUUCGACAACUAGGGUUCAGUUCGGUGCCCGCCGGAGUCCACCUCGACCACUACGUCUAGGGUUUGGACCGAGCUAUUGGAGCGGCGGCGGCGGCGGCGGAGGAGGAAGAGGAGGGGACCUCGCCAUCGCCAUGGGAGUUGAGUGAGCUUAUUGAAGAGAGAGAGAGAGAGAGAGAGAGAGAGUGUUUGUGUAGAGAGAGAGAGGUGAAAGGGUUAAAGGAGGGGAAAGGAAGGGGACAGCUCUAGGACAGUCGAUCCCGCAUGUUAAGCACCGUCGCUUGGUGGGGAUAAAUGUAUUGCGUACACCCGGUGUAUGGGUGCACCCCAUGCACCAAUUUUUUUGGAAAAACUUUAAAUACGACCGCAUGGUUUCGUACUUUUUUUUUAAUUUUAGCACCAUGUGGUUUAAUAAAGUGUAUCACUUUAGUAACUGUAGUUUUAGAUUUUUCUUUUUAUUAUCCCUUCACUAAUUAUUUUUUGCUAAAUCAGUAACAAAAUUAAAACUAAAAGGUAUUAAAGUGAAUAUUCGAUAAAUCUAGAUAGGUGUAUCUGAAGUGUUUUGUAUAUAAUUUAACGAAAUGUUAACGGAGAAGCUGAUGAAAAGAGAAACAUGAAAUUACAGAGUACUAAAUUGAUAUACUUUAAACCAUAGGUACUAAUGUGAGAAUGUGUGAAACUACAAAAAUAAUAUUUGAAGUUUAUUUUUUAUUUAUUUAUUUAUUUAUUUAUUUUUGAAUAAACUACCGGGUUCAUACGGAGGAUCGAAGCCCAACCUUUGAGUCCAAGAUCUACAGUUAUAGGGCCUAUUUAUUUUACCAAAAAUAAAGUUUAUAUUAAAAAUAAAGAAAUAAUUGCAUAUAGUUCGCUGAAAAGAUAGUAAAUAAUAAAUAAAUCUCUAUAAAACUUAAGUUAUCAAAUUUGUCCCUUCAAAAAUCCUUCCGUCUGUAAAUAUAUUCUUUUGUUGCCAAAAUCUAGAUAAUCAUGAGUUAAAAAAACUAGUUAGUUAAGAAAUAAAAUGACUUUUUUUUUCAUCUGUUAUAUACAUAAUUUGUAUUUCAAUGUUGAGUCUCGUCGUCUUUCUCACCCUUUUCUUUUUAUCCAUGGCGGUGGCAAGAUCUAUAGCAGCAGCGAUGUUGAAGGCAAGGCCCUCGAUUGAGGCAAAAAUAAGGUACGCCGCACGUGCCACGACGAAGGCUAGGAAAGAGAGAAAAAAAUUAGUUUUUUAAAUGGACAAAUUUAUAAGUGCAAAAUAGUUAUUUUGUGUAUCAAUCAUUAAAAAAAAUAAAGGUGAAUCAAACGGCAUGAUAUAUAUGAAUGAAUUAGAAUUUUUGGAGGGAUAUAUUUGUAAAUCGGAGAGUUUUUAAAAAGAUAAAUUUGAUAACUUAAGUUUUGUAGGAAUAUAUUUACUAUUUGAUACUUUUGCAAGGAUCUGUAUAAAAUUAACCCUAAAAUAAAUUUGAGGUGAACUAGUGCUCAAUUAAAAAAGUAUUUUUUUUGGCCGUUUAUUUGUAUAACUAUGCAACUGAAGUUCUUCUAAUUUUGCCGUCUAUUUUAGCACGAAGUGAACUGCACAAAAGCUAGAAAUGUGAAAGGUGGAUUUUCAUUUUAUUACUUUUUUCCCUCACUUUUUCUUUGGUAAUUGACUAUAGUCUGCAAUCGGUCGAAGUCAAUUACGAUGUUUUGAUAAGUUUUGAAUUUUCGAUCGAAAAUGAAGUUACAAUAAAACAAAUAAUAAAAAUGAGCAUUUAUAACCAAAAAUUAGUUUACUCCUCUCCAUUUUCGGUAAAACAAACACACCCUUAUAUGUUUUGUCGUUAAUACUAUAAAAGCUAAAAUUUUAAAAAAAAUCUUCUAUAAAUAUUUGCUUUUAUAUAUUAUCAUUCUAUCUUUUCAAAAUUUUUAUUUUGCCAUCUUAAAAUUUAAAAUUAUCGCAUUUAAUCUAGUUAACAAUAUGUCACUAUUCC